rnacentral:lncRNA from 1 species
UACAAAUGCCCCUGCUUUAAAAUUCACAAGCAAUAUUGGUUUUCCCCUAAUUUCUUAACAUCACCACCAAAAAGAUCAAGAUCAACAAGCUACACAAGUCAGAACAAAAUCAACAAUAUUGAAAAUAGACACUAAACCUCAUUCUAGUUUCCACAAUCUUUUAUCACUGUGCAAUGGUUAUGUACAACUGAUUCACAUUGCAAGUGAUUAUCUUUACACAAUUUGUGAAACAUUUCAGAGCAAGAUUGAUUUAUUAAAGUAUAUUAUAAGAUUCAUAAAUAAGGUGGCAGUGAAUAUAUCUGCAGAAAAGCCCUUACCAACCAAUUCCGUAAGAAGUUGUGUUGCCUUUGAGGUAUAGCUGUUGCGAAGGAACCCCCGAAUCAUUACAUUAUAACAGCAGCUAUCAGGCAAACAGUCGUUAUCUCCCAUGCUCCCAAACAACCUGUAUGCUUCAUCUGGCAAUCCCUCUUUACACAGUCCAUUAAUCAUUAUACGAUAUGUGACAACAUUCGGUUUUAAACCAUUGUCUGAGAGUUGAUGAAAUAAUUCCUUGGCAAAUUCGAUAUGCCCAGCUUUGCACAACCCAUCAAUUAGGAUAUUAUAUGGGACAAUAUCAAGUUCCAACCCACCGUUUCGCAUUGCUUGAAAAAGUUUCAAUGCCUCCUCAAUAUGACCUGUUUUGCCUAAACCAUUCAGCAAAAUCAAACAGGUCGCUAUAUCUGGAACUUGUCCAGAAGCAAGCAUCUUUCUAAAAAGUUCACAUGCAGUUGAAACUCUCCCUAACUGAAACAUACUUUGCAAGAGAGUGCUGUAUGUGACAAUAUUCGGGAUUGGUCCCUUUUGAGAUAUUUCAUGAAAGAGUUCCAUUGCUUCAUCUAACCUCUUAGCUUUGCAAUAUCCAUUGAUCAUGGUGUUGUAAGUAACUAUAUCAGGUGCACAACCCUUCUCAAUCAUCAAGUUGAAAACUCUUCUAGCUUUAUCCAUUUUGUUCUGCAAGCAAUGACCAUUAACUAAUGUAUUAUAGGUAACAACAUCAGGCUCGAUUUCUCGCUUUAUCAUUGCGUCAACAAUAUCCUCAGCUUCAGAGACCAACCCUUCCUUGCAAUGCGCAUCAACCAAUGUAUUAUACGUGACAACAUUAGGCUCAAUGCCUUGCUUUCUCAUCAUGUCAACGGUCUCUACAGCUUUAGAAAUCGUUCCUUCCUUGCAAAGAGCAUCAAUCAGUAAAUUAUAUGUGACAAUAUCAAGUGAAAUAUUGUUAUCAACAAUUUCAUUCAAAAGCCUUGUUGCCUCCUCCUGCUGGCCCAAAUUACACAUACCAUGAAUUAAGCAAUUGUAAGUAAAGAUAUCUGGUCUAAUGCCUUUAACCUUCAGUUCGGAGAAGAGAUCAAGAGCCUCCUGUAACAAACCGUUCUUACAAAGGCAGUCAAUGACGGUGCUAUAUGCUACAUUAUUGGGUUCAUAACCUCUGCUUUCCAUCAACCUUAGAAACCUAACAGCUCUACCAAUAUUACCGGUCUUACACAACCCCUUAAGCAUUGUACUGUAAACAAUCAAAUUAGGUUGAUACCCUUUUUCAGUCAUUUCAUCGAACAUACAAACGGCCUCAGAAAUCUUACUUUGACUACAAAGCCCAUUAAUCAAAGUUGAAAAAGUUACAGCACUAGGUUCAACACCUAACUUCAGCAAUUUCCCCAAAACAGAAAACCCAAAAUCAAUUCGACCUAAUUGACAAAAGCAAUUAAUCAAGAUGCUCAUAGAAUAACUAUCGUGGGAAACUCCCAAUAAUUCGAUCUGUCUAUACUUAGAAACAACAAUGGCAUAAUGUUUCAUCUUAACAAUGGCUCCUAAUAAUUUAGUGAAUUCCACAAUUGAAGGCUUUGGGUACUUUUCAAUCAUCAUAUUGACCAAACUCAAAGCAUGAUCAACAUUAUCGAAGCGGUGGUCUCUUUUUCCCUUUCCUCUAACAGGCAUGGACAUGGGUUUCUUACUUAGGCAUUCGAUGUGGGUAGCAAUAGUGCUAGAAGAAGAAGAAAAAUAGUGGAAAUUAGAAAGAUGGCUUCCAGCAUUAACAACCGAACGAAGAAUAAAAGAACAAGGAAGCUUACCCAUAUCUUGAAAGUAAGCAAAAUGAAAGCAGAAAUGGCAGCGGCAGUAGCAGAAGAAGUGUAAAUUUUGGGCUGCGAAGUGGCGUUUAGGGAAAGGGUUGGGAGCGUAAUUUGGGUUUUUUUAUUUUAUUUUUUUAAUGUGAAUAAUAUUUAAUAAAAAAAUUAAACUUUAUUUUGAAAUGCAAUCUUCGAUUAUUAUUAAUAUUAUAAUAUACUUUUAUUAAAUUUAAAUUUAAAAUUUUAGACUAACAUGAAAAAAUAUACUAAGAUUAGAAUACAAUUAAAACUAACUUGAAUUCCACACUUGGAGUUAAAAGAUCUGAGCAAUAUCAUUAGGCAAAUUUUCAAAGAGACUCAACACCAUUCCUAAAUUUCUUCCAAUCCUAGCCAUAGAGUUUGCAACUUUGUCAUGUAGUUAUUGUCGAAACCGUCUUUUGAAAAACAAAAAUUUUGUUGUCGACUUUUAAAAAUAAAACUGGAGUUGCCACCGAUCCUUUAUUAAGGUGUGACCGGCCCACCUUAAAAAUUAUUUUGGUCUGCAAAUUUUGAAAAUAGGUUCGGGAGUCAAUUACGCACGAGAAAGGGUUAGCACCCUCGUAACGCCCAAAAAUCGGUACCAAAUUGACUAUUUAAUGUCUUAGUGUCGAAAGUUAAAAAAGAUUUUAAAAUAAGCUUGAAUGAUGAAAUUUGCAAAAGGAUAACCAAUUGUUCAAGUCAUGUAAAGAAAUCGAGUCCCAAUACGUUAGGGUACAAUUCCUCAUAAUCCCCGAACUUUGGAUAUCUCUAUUAUUUUAUACGAAAAUCUUCAUUUCAAGAAAGUAACAUGCCACACCCAAUACGUUAGGGCACAACAAGUUAAGUUCCCAAAAAUGAUUUUUAUGCAUUUUGAAUAAAAUCUAUUCUCGGUCAUUUAGGAUUGACAAAGAAAAUCAGAACCCAAUACGUUAGGGCUCAAUUUCCCUCGAAAAUCCCAAACCUCCAAUAAUGCUUUUAUUCAAAAAAAAAACUUUGAAUCAAGAGAAAACAAUUUUGAUGUUUUGUCAAAGCCGAAUAUAUAUUCUCGUUUAAAAAGAAAUGACAAAAUGUUAACAUACACAAUGAAAUAAACACUUUAAUAUAUUUACAAAGUAUAUACAUAUAUAAAUAUAACGUAUAAGUAAAUUCGCAGAUAUGCGUAUGCAUAUGUUAAAAUACAUACAUAUAGGCGAACCUAUAAAAAGACAAAAUUUAAUAAUCUCUAAAAACAUGUUAUGAGCAAGAAUAAGAAAAAUGCCUAUGUAUGUAUUAAAAAUUGUGAAAAUAAAAUAAAAUAAAAUAAAAAGUAUGUGUAUGUACAUAUAUUUACAAAAAUAAAAAAUGUAUAAGUAUACAUGUACUGGUAAAACAUGAAAAUAUGUAUAUGUAUAUCAUAAUACUUAUAUAUAUAUAUAAUGAGUACAUAAAUAAUGGAAUAUAUGUAUAGAAUAAUAAAAUAUUUAUAAUGAUUCAAAAGCAUGAAAAAAAAUGUAUAUAUAUAUUUAUAAAAAUGCAUAUCCUGAAUCACCAAAUAUAGGAAACACGUGUGUAUUUAAAAAUGUGUAUAUAUACAUUUAAAUAUAUAUUUUAAAAAAUGAAAAAAACAAACAAAGGAAAAAAACGUGUAUGUAUAUUUUUAAAAAAAUGAAACUAAAAUGUUUAAGUAUAUAUACGUAUUAAAAAAUAUUUGCAUGUACAAAACGUAUGCAUGCAUUUUAUAAACGUUAGAAAAUAUUAUAAAAAAUAUACAUAUAUAUUAUAAAAUACAUAUAAAUAAUAUAAUAAAUGAUGCAAUAAUAGUGAUAAAAAUGAAAUUAAAAUCAGAUAGAGGACCGAUUUGCAACACGCGAAUUAUAGGAGGGGCCAAAAUGGAAAUAAUCUGCCCCUCUAAAACACUGCGCCGCAAUAGGGACUUAUUUGAAACAAAAAUAAAACACGUGGCCAAAAUCAAAAGAAAUAAAAAGUUGAUUUAAACAUGCUUCUAAAAAUCAAGGGACUAAAUGCGCAAAUUAACCAUUCGGCCAGAACGCGCGGAUCCUCCCCUCCGGGUCGGGUCACUGCGCGGGUCGCACCUGGCUAAAACGGCGUCGUUUCAGUGAUGCUAUUUAAAACUGUUUUCUAAAAAAAAACAUUUGAAACAGAAUGAAAAAAAAAUAAAAAAAAACCCCAAAUGCUAUGCUAGUGUUUUCAAUCCCUAGCCCUUUGCGCCGCCGUUCAUCAGCCUCCCCACCCAAAGCUCCGAUGACGGCGGAGAUGGUGGUGGCACGACGACCUCGGCGAACAGGUAAGCUUUUUCUUUCUUUUUUUUUGUUAUUUUAGGUGAAACAAAAAGAAAAUAAAAGAAAAUAAAAAGAAAUAUAAAAAAAUAAACAGAAAUAAACGAUGAACACUACCAAAGUAAAAACCUUCGAAAAAAGCAAAUUUGAUCUGUAUUUCCCUCUAUUUUCUUGUCUCCUUUUACACUCAAAACCCCCUUUUUACAGAUUUUUCACGGCUUUAAAUAGCCGAAAUGGAAAAGGAAAAAUGAACCAAAUCCCACGAAUAGAAAAUCUAUUAUGUUCUUAUUGGCGUGAUUUUUGCUAUUCUGUUCGCGUUUGUUGCUACAGGUACAAGGCGAGGCGAGGAAGGCGCGUAACUCGCGCGGAGAGGGACCCUGUCCCCGAGUCGUGCGGCGACUGGACUGCUGGAGGCGGCGGUCAAGAAUUUUCUGUUUAGGGUUUCGGUAGCUAGGGUGUGGGCCUAGGUUUAGUUUAUUUUUGUUUUGUAAUGGUCUGGGCCAAUUGGGCCUUAUUACAGCUGCCCCUCUUUGCUCGUUGUCGUGUAACGGGAACAGAGCAAAGACUAUAAGCCCAAUUGUGCCCAGUCUUACUAAGCCUCAACUCCUUCAGUGCUUCUUUCUUCAGGUAGCAUCAUUCCUUCCUACUGCAUCUUCAGAAGUAUAGGAACCAGUGCUUCGAUCCACUCCACUGCGACGUCAGGGAGAUAGGAUUCGUACCUUGUGGCUUCUCAAAAGAACAAAAUUUGCUAUUUUUAGUCUGUUCCACUACAACUUCAGGGGGAUAAGGCUUAUAGCUUCAACUUGUUUUGUUACAACUUAAGGGUAAAUCUGAUGUGAUCUGCUCUACUGCAACUUCAGAGAGAUGAGAUCUGCGGUUUUAAUUCACUCCAUUGCAACUUCAAGGAAAUAGGAUUGGUUACUUUUGUCUGCUCUACUGCAACUUCAGGGAGAUAAGACUGGUAUCUUCGAUCUACUUCACCACCAGUAUGGGAAGGCAAGAUUUACUUUUUCCGCUCUACUUCAUGCCAAUACAUGAAGACAAUGUCUGCUUUUUUCGAUCGAUUCCACUGCUGACCGGGGAAAUAGAAUUACUAGCUUCAAUAUACUCCACUGCAACCUCAGGGAGGUAAAAUCCACCAUCUUUGAUCUACUCCACUAUUGCUUAGGGAGAUAAUAUCUGUAAUCUUCAAUCUAUUCCGCUGCAGCCCAGGGAAGUAGAAUUACUGGCUUCAAUGUACUCCACUGCAACCUUAGGGAGGUAAAAUCCACCAUCUUUGAUCUGCCCCACUACUGCUUAGGGAGAUAAAAUCUGUAAUCUUCAAUCUAUUCCACUGUUGCCCAGGGAGAUAGAAUUACUGGCUUCAAUGUACUCCACUGCAACCUCAGGGAGGUAAAAUCUACCAUCUUCGAUCUGCUCCACUACUGCUUAGGGAGAUAAAAUCUGUAAUCUUCAAUCUAUUCCACUGUUGCCCAAGGAGAUAGAAUUACUGGCUUCAAUGUACUCCACUGCAACCUCAGGGAGGUAAAAUCUACCAUCUUCGAUCUGCUUCACUAUUUAUGUAGGAAGGCAAGAUCUGAAAUCUUCAAUCUAUUCCGCUGCUGCCUAGGGAAGUAGAAUUACUGGCUUCAAUGUACUCCACUGUAACCACAUUGAGGUAAAAUUCACCAUCUUUGAUCUACUCCACUACUGCUUGGGGAGACAAGAUCUGAAAUCUUUAAUCUAUUCCACUGCUGCCCAGGGAAGUAGAAUUACUGGCUUCAAUGUACUCCACUGUAACCACAUGGAGGUAAAAUUCACCAUCUUUGAUCUGCUCCGCUGUCUAUGCAGGAAGGCAAGAUCUGCUAUCUUCAACCUGCUCCACUGUCUCCGAGGGAGGCGAGGUUGGUGUCUUCGAUCUACUUCACUGUCGAUACAGAAAGGCAAGAUCUGUUAUCAUCACUGAUCUGUUCUCUGGGGAACAUGACUUGUAUAAUAAACUUUAUGAACCUAAUUAUGCCUAGUGAUUAGGAUGUCAUGAUCAGAAUGAAUCAAAUGCUCCUAACUAGGCAUGUAUGAAUGACAUUUGAAUGAAUGCAGAAUGUCAUGAAAAUGAUAUUUUAGCGCUUGGGUUAUUAUUACUCCAAGUUUAUUAAGGUUUCAUCACUAAUGUGUUAUAACACCUUCUUGCUCAGCUGGCGUCUCCAAAGAAACACUUAGUCAGAUUGCCCCCACUGUAAACCUCCAAGUUUGAUCCACUGGGAUACAAAAUAUGUAUCAUCUUUCUCCUGUUGUAACCCAAGAAUAAAAAGAUUCGGCCUUUUCUCAAUCCUCUGCUAUCACAAUUCAAGGAUACAGGAUGUGAAACUUUUGGUCUCUCACACCAUUCCCAGGGUGUCCUGCCAAAUGCUCAUGCACAAAUGAAGAAUUUUCUUAUCCAAGAACAAUUUCUUCUCAUUAUACGGUGAUCAUUGCUUGCUUGUUCAUUGAAGCUUUGUCACCAUCAUGACAUCUUGCCAUUUUAUUCAAUUUAGACAAGAAAAUUCAAAGGGAUAGUCUUUAAUUUAGACUCUUCUUUAUCAGAUUUCCAACCUGGUGCGUUCUAAACAAUAGUCCUGUUUAAGGUUCCUAUAUUAUUCAGAGACUUCUAGAGUAAUAUGCAAAACUUCCCUUGUGAAAGUUUUAUUAGUCCAUUAAUCAUUAUUCUAAUGCAACAUGCUUGCAAAAAAGAUCAUGGAUAAGAAUUGAGUUGGUUCUGAGCAUAACUCAAAAUGAAUAAGUUGUUAAAGAUAAUAAAGAUGGAUAACAAAGAAAUUGAUUUAAGAAUGCAUAUCUUGGAAAUGAAUGAAGUGUUCCAAGAAUAACAAAAAAAAUAAUAUAAGGAUUAGGUGCCCCAAAUAUCGCAGCUUGAACUUCUCUGUACAGACCUUCUGAAGAUCAUUCUGAGUUUAACAUGUGUUUAGGAGAUCUAUAGUACUUUGUCGAUGCCCCAAGAUGUCGCUUACCCUUUCCUAUUGAUUCAGGUAUAGCAAGACCACUGCAUGCCCCAUGCUGAUCAGUAUUUGAGCUGCUCUGAUUUCCUCAUGCCCCAUUCUGAUCAAUAUUUGAGCCGCCCUUUUUGGGUUUUCAACUCAAAUCCCCUUUGGUCUCAAGGUGCCCUUUACGGGUUUUGACCUUGGCCUCUCCAUUUUUCUCUUUUUCUCUUUUUUGAUUUUUAUUUUUUUGGACUCAAAGCACCUUUUGUGGGUUUUCACCUUGGUCAUCUCAUUCUUUAAGCGGAGUAUUUCCUGACUGAACCUGAGUUUACAGGACUUUGCAGGUUUAUUAUCCAUCUCGCUCAAAAUUAAAGCUCCUUUGGAAAAGACCUUCUCUAUAACAUAAUGUUUUUCCCAAUUUGGCAUCCGUUAUAUUUUUUGUAGAGUGAGGAUCUUCUUCAGCAUUAGGUUGCCAUCAUGGAAUUCUCUGGGACAAACCUUUUGCUAUAGCCUCGCAUCAUUCAUUUCUUGGUACAUCUGACCCUGAUGAAUAGCUUUUAGUCUUCCUCCUUCUAUCAAGUUCAAUUGAUCACAUUGCGAUUGGAUCUAUUCUGUUUCAUCCAACUUGCUCAGCCAAUACCCGGAGAGAAAGAAUUUCAAUUUCAAUGAUGAACUUAAAGAGAGAGGCACUACUCCGAUAGAGUUUUCACUGCAUCAUUCUUGAACAUACUGCAAAUUUCUGAUAUCGGACUGUUGUUCAGAUUGCAAUGACAGCGCUUAUGUAAUACCCCUACCCGUAUUCGUCGCCGAAAUAGAGUAUGAGGCAUUACCAGAUUUUACCGAAUUUUUUUUUUCAAGAUAGAUUUAUCAUUUUCAUAAGAUAAUUUCAUCACAUACCAAAACCAAAAUUUGUUAGCCAUACCAAUGGCUAACCAUACAUUCAUUUCACAUUAACAUCUAAUUUACUAGCUUAUACAUGCCAUUGAUUUCCAAAAUAAAGUUCCUUUAUGUACCGAGAUCUCGAGAUUGAUAGUGUGAUGUGUCUCCGACCAAAUCCGACCUCCGAGCUCUUAACUCUACAAACAGGGGAAAAGAAACAGGGUAAGCACUUUGUGCUUAGUAAGUUCAUGCAACAGGAAUUAUACUUACCAUACUUAUACAUCCAUCAUUUAAUAACACAAGCACACAUCCAAUUCACAUAAACAUACACCUAUCACAUACAAACUCAACCUCAUACAAAUUCAUUACAAAGAUAAAUGAUUGAUGAGCUCAUCAAUUCCAUGAUUUCCAUUUCCUUGUUAUUUUUCCAUAUUUAUCCCGUUGAACUACUUGGAAUUUCGAUGGAUAUUCAGGGGUACACCUAAGUGUACAAAUCCGGGUCCGUCAAUUCAUAUUCAUGUGCGCACAUUUCCAUUUCAGAGAGCACACUCCCGCGAACCUCAUCCUUACAGCGGGAUUACCAGUCCAGGCUAAAUCCCCUGUAAUAUAAACUCACAAAGUAUUGUCGGGAUUACCAGUCCAGGCUAAAUCCCCUGCAACGACUAUAAUUUUGUUCAACCUAUAGUUGUAAUUUUGAAUUUAGUAGAACAAAAUAAUAUAAAUUUUACAUGGUGUUCAAUGAUGGUAUUGAUUGGUUAGCAAAAUCAGCUCUAAGGAUAGAGGCAUUUCGAUCUUGGAUGAGCAUGUUGUUUGUCAUCGGUGCAAAGUGGAAUCUAAGGAUGGUAGUCACAUUUUUCUGAAAUGUGCCCGAGUUAACAAAUUCUGAGAUAUUUUAUCAUUUCUUUCGUUAUGCUUUAAUAAGUUUGGUGUCUAAACCUCUGUUUAAUUGGUGGUUGAUGUCUAUUAUGGUUGCCUUGUGGACCAUCUAGAGUGCAAGAAAUGAUUCCAUGUUUAGAGGAAAUGAUUUUAAUUUGGAGUACAUUUUUUUUUCUGGUUGAAUUAAGAUCUUUGCAUUGGAUAAAAGUCUUGCCAGAAUGUAUGAAUUUUGUUGAGUCAAUGUAGGAGGAAGGGGUGUCCGCGAGAUUGUGAAAGGAGUAUCUGUAGCCAUCAUACUAAGAGUGUGACGCGUUGAGAACCUUCAAAUGAAGGCUGGUUAAAGUUUAACGAUGAUGGUUCAACAUUAGGUAAAUUUGGCCCGACGGGAUGUGGAGUGGAUUUUAGAAAUUCAAAGGGUCAUGUCAUUGCUAUGUUUUAGGUCCCUAAGGCGUCCAAGAUUCUAAUUUCACUAAAAUUAUGGCGAUUAAGUUAGCUCUUCAUUUCUUCUAAGACUCCCAGUGGCUUAAAGACUAAAAGCUUAUGGUUGACUCCGACUCCAUAGUCGCGCUUACUUGAUGUAUCAAUGAGAAAUCUAGGCCUUUGAAAUAUUGGCACAUUUUUGCAAGCAUUGAUGAGAUUAAGAUGUCCAUUCAUGAGGUACUGUUUAGAAAAAUUGGGAGAGAUGCUAAUGAUAUGGCAGAUUCGUUAGCAAAAUUAGGGUGCUUUCAAUCUCAAAUGUUUUUUUUGUAGAUUGGUGAUGAGCAUCGUUGAGUUUAAUUGAGAUGAUAGUUUCAUUGUUAUUUCAUCGAAGAAGAUUCACCAAAUCAAGCGAUUUUGUGCCUAUUUCAACGUCAGUGCUGCCAUUUUAAGGUGUGCUGCAGUUGCAAUAAUCAUAACCAAUAAUUCUAUAAAAAUAAUUAACUAAGUUUGAUUAAAGAUAAAUACUUUAUUUUACGAUAGUUUUGGUAAUUAAAUAAUGAAAAGAAAUUUUUUUUCUGUUAUGAAAAUAUUUAUCUUGUGUCUGUUUCACUUGAAACAAUUUCCAAAAAAUGAGUUCAAGAAAAUUUAUUAAAUACUGUAAAAUGUUUUACAUAAAAUCAUUAGGAAAAUAUUACAUUUCUCCGAAAAGCAUACUAUUUUCCGGAAAUCAUUUUCCAGAAAAUGUUUUCAAUCAAACAAAGAAACCCCAAAUUUGAUUGAAUUCCACACUUGGAGUUAAAAGUUCUGAGCAGCCGAAAAUUAUACGGAUGCUAUUGUCAUUGCUACAGAAACUGGUUUUCCCCUAAGUUCUUACCAUUACCACCAACAAGAUUCUCACUUGCAACACAAAGUCAGAACAAAAUCAUCAAUAUUGAAAAUAGACACUAAAACUCAUUCUAGUUUCCACAAUCUUUUAUCACUGUACAAUGGUUAUGUACAAACUGAUUCACAUUUGCAAGUUAUGGUCUUUACACAAUUUGUGAAACAUUUCAGAGCAAGAUUGAUUUAUUAGAGUAUAUGAUAAGCUCCAUAAAUAAGGUGGCAGUGAAUAUAUCUGCAGAAAAGCCCUUACCAACCAUUUCCGUAAGAAGUUGUGUUGCCUUUGAGGUAUAGCUGUUGCGAAGGAAACCCCGAAUCAUUACAUUAUAACAGCAGCUAUUAGGCAAACAGUCAUUAUCUCCCAUGCUCCCAAACAACCUGUAUGCUUCAUCUGGCAAUCCCUCUUUACACAGCCCAUUAAUCAUUAUACAAUGUGUGACAACAUUCGGUUUUAAACCAUUGUCUGAGAGUUGAUGAAAUAAUUCCUAUGGCAAAUUCGAGAUGCCCAGCUUUGCACAACCCAUCAAUUAGGAUAUUAUAUGGGACAAUAUCAAGUUCCAACCCACUGUUUCGCAUUGCUUGAAAAAGUUUCAAUGCCUCCUCCAUAUGACCUGUUUUGCCUAAACCAUUCAGCAAAAUCGAACAAGUCACUAAAUCUGGAACUUGUCCAGAAGCAAGCAUCUUUCUAAACAGUUCACAUGCAGUUGAAACUCUCCCUAACUGAAACAUACUUUGCAAGAGAGUGUUGUAUGUUAAAAUAUUUGGGAUUGGUCCCUUUCGAGAUAUUUCAUGAAAGAGUUCCAUUGCUUUGUCUAACCUCUUAGCUUUGCAAUAUCCAUUGAUCAUGGUGUUGUAAGUAACUAUAUCAGGUGCAGAACCCUUCUCAAUCAUCAAGUUGAAAACUCUUCUAGCUUUAUCCAUUUUGUUCUGCAAGCAAUGACCAUUAACUAAUGUAUUAUAGGUAACAACAUUAGGCUCAAUGCCUCGCUUUAUCAUUGCGUCAACAAUAUCCUCAGCUUCAGAGACCAUCCCUUCCUUGCAAUGCGCAUCAACCAAUGUACUAUAUGUGACAACAUUAGGCUCAAUGCCUUGCUUUCUCAUCAUGUCAACGGUCUCUACAGCUUUAGAAAUCAUUCCUUCCUUGCAAAGUGCAUCAACCAAUGUACUAUACGUGACAACAUCGGGCUCAAUGCCUUGCUUUCUCAUCAUGUCAACGGUCUCUACAGCUUUAGAAAUCGUUCCUUCCUUGCAAAGAACAUCAACCAAUGUAUUAUACAUGACAAUAUGAAGUGAAAUAUUGUUAUCCACCAUUUCAUUCAAGAGCCUUGUUGCCUCCUCCUGCUGGCCAGAAUUACACAUACCAUGAAUUAAGCAAGUGUAAGUAGAGAUAUCUGGUCUAAUGCCUUUAACCUUCACUUCGGAGAAGAGAUCGAGAGCCUCCUUCAACAACCCGUUCUUACAAAGACAGUCAAGGAUGGUAUUAUAUGCUACAAUAUCGGGUUCAUAACCUCUGCUUUCCAUCAACCUUAGAAACAUAACAGCUCUACCAGUAUUACCGGUCUUACACAACCCCUUAAGUACUAUAUUGUAAGCAAUCAAAUUAGGUUGAUACCCUCUUUCAGUCAUUUCAUCGAACAUACAAACGGCCUCAGAAAUCUUACUUUGAUUACAAAGCCCAUUAAUCAAAGUUGAAAAAGUUACAGCACUAGGUUCAACACCUAACUUCAGCAUUUUCCCCAAAACAGAAAACCCAAAAUCAAUUCGACCUAAUUGACAAAAGCAAUUAAUCAAGAUGUUUAUAGAAUAAACAUUAUUCCCAAUAAUUCGAUCUGUCUAUACUUAGAAACAACAAUGGCAUAAUGUUUCGUCUUAACAAUGGCUCCUAAUAAUUUAUUGAAUUCCACAAUUGAAGGCUUUGGGUACUUUUCAAUCAAAUUAUUGAACAAAAUCAAAGCAUGAUCAACAAUAUCGAAGCGGUGGUCUCUUUUUCCCUUUCCUCUAACAGGCAUGGACAUGAGUUUCUUACUUAGGCAUUCGAUGUGGGUCGCAAUGGUGUUCGAAGAAGAAGAAAAAGAGUGGAAAUUAGAAAGAUGGCUUCCAGCAUUAACAACGGAACGAAGAAUAAAAGAAGAAGGAAGCUUACCCAUAUCUUGAAAGCAGAAAUGGCAGCGGCAGUCGCAGAAGAAGUGUAAAUUUUGGGUUGCGAAGUGGUGUUUAGGGAAAGGGUUGGGAGCGUAAUUUGGGUUUUUUUAUUAUUUUUUUAAUGUGAAUAAUAUUUAAUAAAAAAAUUAAACUUUAUUUUUAAAUGCAAUCUUCGAUUAUUAUUAACUUAUAAAUCUGCCUUUUAAAUGUAAUAAAAUUACUAUUUACUUUUAAAUGGUAUUAACUUCAAAAGAUUUUUAGACUAACUUUAAUAAAAUUUAAAUUUAAAAUUUUAGACUAAGUUGAAAAAAUAUACUAAGAUUACAAUACAAUUAAAACUUAAAUCUAUAAAAUACUCUAUUUUUAUAAUUUAUAUUUUGUCGAUGCAUCUAAGAGCGAGCAAAAUUUGAUUUGAUUAAAACAAAUAAAAAGUAAAAAUCAAAUUUCGAGUUCAUCGAAUCGAGUUAUUCAAUUUUUUCGAGUCAACUAGAAUAAGUAAUUUGAGUUUCGAGUUUAAAUCGAUCCGAAUUCCAUAUUUCUGUAUUGGUAGAUUUAUCGUUUAGUGAUCAUUACCUGGUUGAGUUUGCAACCAAUCCACUACUUUGGCGAGUUUUAGACAUUUCAUCAUUCUUGUGAAUACUUACUUUUCUUUGCACAUAUUGCCUUAUUUCCUUUUUCCACACAUCCUUGAUUAUUAACAACCAUUUAACUCAUAAUAGUCCAGGCGCAUAUACUGACGUUCCUCUCGUAAGGCCACUAGCGAAGGCCCACGCCACAGAAGCAGACUUAGUCUUAUUUAACUUAGCAAACUCAGCAGGUCCAAUUACCCCCAUUAACCCCAUCGCCAAGCAGACUUACGGUGAGUUUGGAUGGGCGGUGCGUUUACCUGCGGUUAGUGUAAAAAUAGCGGUGGCGGUAAGAUUAAAUACUGUAGCGAUACUGUAGCGUGAGACAAAAAGUAAACUAAACGCACCGCACCGCACCCAAUCACUCAUCCAAACCCACCCUUAGUCUUAUUUAACUAAGCAAACUCAACAGCUCCAAUGACCCCCAUUAACCCCAUCGCCCUUGAGCUUCCUUUAAGCCAAACUCUAACCCAGUUGUCUGCUUCUACCUAUUGUACCUCUCUUCCAACCCUUAGUGUUGUUCUCUCGACCUCUUGCACCAUUUUCUUAACCUUUUCUAUCUCUCCCCCAGUCUCUUGCAUUGCUCUUUUAGCAUCUUCCACCACUCUUUUAGUUGCUUGCAUCACUCCCUCAAUUGUCAACCCAUAGUCCUAGCCUAUUCGUGCCACCUCAGCUUCAACCAACCCCUGGUGUCUCUUCCUCUAACACUAAGGAACUCCUCUUGCAAUACCUAUGGUAUGCUCUCUCCUCAUGUCUCUUCACUCCACCUUCUAAGGUGGCUACUACCAUCAUCCCAGUGGAUCAAGCCUCUCACCAACAACCCUUUUACUCUCAACACCAAGUCAUUAGGAUGCAAGAGAAAAUGUGACACAAAUAAUUAUACUUAUUCGAUUUUAAAAAUAUAUUUUUUCAUUUUUUUAAAUAUGUACAAUUGAAUCAAAAUAAAAGUUCUAUGUAUACAUUUGAACCAAAUCAAACUUCAUGUAUCAAAUUACACAUUAAAACAAAGUCCAUGUAUAAUUUUGAUAUUUAUCCCUAACUGCAUAUAAUAUGAUUUGAACAUAACCAUAAACAUUAAAGCUUUACUUCGACAAUUUCGAUCAUAAUCACAUUUGAUUUUUUAAAAAAAUAUUUUUUUAUAGAUAUAUUUUAUAAAUAAAAAAAUUUCACCCAAAAGUGUGUAAUAAUUUAGUAUAAUAUAUAUUUAUGUGUAUAUACAUUGAUAUCUUUAAGCAACUUUGUAGGGACUUGAAGUGACCACAUAAACAUACACCUUAGAAGGCCGCAAAUAUUAUUAGAUUAUUUUACUUUGUUUAUUUUACUUUUUGGUCCUUCAACUAUGUAUGGAUCAGAUCGAAAUUCCAUAGCAUAUUCUAUAAAAUUCGAGGUUGAAUAAUAUUUUAAAAUUAGUAGAAUUAAAUGAGAAUUAAAUUGUUUUUAUUUAUAUUCCCAAUAAAUUAGUUUAAAAAAUUCAUCCAUUAUUGUUUUUAUUAUAUAUUUUUUGAACAUUGAAAGAGCUUUAUAAGAUUCCCAAUUGUGUCAUCUUAAUGCAUCCAACUCACGUGAUGAUAUGAUUUUGUUUAAUUUGACAAAAUCAGAAAAGAGUGAGGUUGGUUUUAUCAAUAAAAAUGUUUAUUUUUAACUUUAAUCCGGUUUGGGUUUUGUUCGGAUUGACCAGUAAGAUCAUUUUAUUUUUUGAAAUAAAACUUUAUCCAAUCUAAUAUUUAUAUAUCAACUCAGUUAUGAAACUACAGAUAAUAUCUAUUUUUUAAAAUUAUAAUUGAUAUUACUAUGACAAUACUUUUAUCCUUUCAUAAUUUUAUAUCAUCUUCAAAUAGAAACAAUUAUAAAUUACAAAUCUAAGAAUUAAACACGCACUGAAUAGUAUUAAAAUGUAAAUUUAUUAUCACUUCGCCUAUAUUCAUCAUUGAAUAAACAAUAAUUCGAGUUGAUUAGGCAUGGGUCAAAAAUAAACAUUUUUAGGUUCGGAUAGCGGCCCAAACCUAGCUCUUGGUUAAAUUAACAUUUUUUAUACUCAAUUAGACAUCACAAGUUGAUUGAUACAUUACGAAAAUAAAGGGGUCUUAGUGAUAUAUAUUUUUUUUAUAUUUGAAUUCCAAUCAUCACUUUUUUGGUGGGUUUUGAUUAAUUAGUCCAAAACACAUUCUUAGAAUAAUAAGCUUAUUUGUGUCCAGUGAAAAUAGUAUAAUAAUAAUUGGGCACCAACUAGGGGCGAAGCUAGAAAAUUUUUUAGGGGGGACCGAAAUGAAAUUUUAAUUUUUAAUAGUCUAUAUCUUAUCAUUUUUAAAGGAUUAAUUUAAAUUUUCAUAAUUUUAGAGGGGGCAAAGUACAAUUUUACCUUUACUAAUUUAAAAUUUUAAAAUUUUCUAAAGUGUCAAAACAACAAAUUUCCAUUUUAGGGGGCCGCGGCCCUGCCAGCCCCCUGGAUUCGCCUCUAGCACCAACACAGUUAAGUUAAUUACAGAAAUAUUUUUUAUAAUUAAAAUAAAUUAUAUUAUUCGAAGGUAUUUUAGUCUUUUUAUUUUAAUAAAAAUCAAUAAAAAUAUGUAUAUGGUGGGAUUUGAAUCCACAUCAAUUAAAUUGGUAAAAUCUUAUAUUUACUACUCAACCAAAGAUUCAUUUUAAUAUAUUUUGUACAUUUUUAUUUUAAUAUGCAUAAUUUAUUAUUUUCUUCAAUUGUAGUAUCGUACAUAUUUCAUAUGUUAUUAUGACUAAUUAGAUUCAAAUAUUAUGUUUCAUUGUUUUUGUAUCUUAUUUUUAAACAUAUAUGUGUUAUCUAAAUUCAUGGUUUCACACGCAUAUGCAUGUGUUAGUGUUUCUCGUAAUAAUUAUUCAUGUGUUUGUAUUAGAGUUGUGAAGAGAACAUGAAAAACUUAGGUCCCCUUUGGAUACCAACGCACAGCAGUGCGAUGAAUUUUUCCUCUUUAUUAUCAACUUGACUGCACUGGAGUGGACUGAGACAGCCUUUGGAUGCCAAGGCUUCCAGCACAGUGAGGAAAUUCUAUUGCACUGGACAGCCUUAAGCUGACUGGUGAUAAAAGCAUCAGUUGGGUGUAGCUGGGCAAUAGAUAUUUUUAGAAGAUAAUAAUACCCUUACUUUAAUUUAUUAAUUUCCAGAAACAAAUGCACGGGAGGGGAUGGGAAAUGGGAGAAGGAUACGGUGGAAGAGGGGAAUAAUGGAAGAGGGGAGAUGGGAUUUCAUUGUAUUUAAAAUUUUAAAAAUAAAAAAAUAUAUGUAAUGGAUUUUAAAAAUAAAAAAAAUACUUGUAGUGUAUUUUAAUAUAUAUAUAUAUAUGUAGUGUAUUUUAAAAAUAAAAAAUAUAUGUAGUGUAUUCUAGAAAUAAAAAAAUAUAUGUAGUCUAUUUUAAUAUAUAUAUAUAUAUAUGAAGUGUAUUUUAAAAGUAAAAAAAUAUAUGUAGUGUAUUUUAAAAAUAAAAAAAUAUAUGUAGUGUAUUUUAAAAAUAAAAAAUAUAUGUAGUGUAUUUUAAAAAUAAAAAAUAUAUGUAGUGUAUUUUAAAAAUAAAAAUAUAUGUAGUGUAUUUUAAAAAUAAACAAAUAUAUGUAGUGUAUUGUAAAAAUAAAAAAAUAUAUGUAGUAUAUUCGGCGUAUUCGAAUUACUUGAAGCAUGAAAAUCCAAUAUUUUUCUUGAAAGAUACUAAUUUUGAACUUCAAAAUUUGAUCCAAAUAUAAUGUUACUAUUUGUGGAAAUAAUAUUUAUCAUUAUUAUAAAAAAUAUUUAACUAUAAAAAAUUAAAAAUAAUUAUCAUUUUAUCUAAUAAAUAAUUUAAAUUAAUUAUAUAAUUCAUUAAAAUAUUGGAAGAUACAUUUUAAUAUUUUAUUAAAUGAAUUUAUUAAUUCACAUAUUUUAAUAAUUUUAAAAAAGUAAAAUAAUUUAAAUAACUUCUAUUAUAUAUCAAUUCUAAUCUGAUGUCCUUAAUAGUCAUUUCUUAUUCUCACCUCACCGCUAUAGCUGCGUUUGAAUCCAAACACACACUCCACCAUUGUUUCUAAUCUCACAGCUACAGUAUCCAAUCUCACCGCUACAGUAACUAAUCUCACCGCCACCGCUGUUUUUAACCUCACCGGAGGUAAACACACCGCCCAUCCAAACUAGCCCUUAGUCAGUAAAAACAUUUUUUUACAUACAACAUGAAAAUAAUACGAAUACAAAAAUAUGUUCAAAUAUAAGUAAAACAAAUUGUUAGCAUAUAAAAAUUAUUUAAAGAAUAGACAACCGUUCAAUUUCCGGUUCAAUUGGUUUUUAAUCUGACUUUAUUGUUGGUUCAAUUGAUUUAUAGAUCAACUGGUCCAUCCUUUAUAAGAUUGAUUAAUUUUCUAUCCAAUCAGUUUCAUCAAAUUUUAAAAACUGUGUAUAUACCUUUGGAUGGGAUGAAUAUUAUUUUUUUUGAAAAUAUUGUUGAAUUUUUAAAAUAUAUAUAUAUUUAUAGAAAAAAAUAUAUUGAAUUUUAAGUUUUCAUCCAUGAGAUUAAUAGGAAGUUUUGUCGUAAUUGGUUGAUUAAAUUUAUCUUAAUUGGUUAUUUUUUGAACAAUCUCAUUAUAAGUUAUGAUUAUAUCUCAUUAUCUUAAUUGAUUAAUUUUAUCUAGAAUUACCCAUAACCCCUAUUCAACCCAUAAAUAAGAGAAUAAUGCACUUCAGCGGUAGCAAUGAGCAUGCUAAUAGAACUAAGGGUAGGUUUGGAUGAGCGGUGCAUUCACCUAUGGUUAGUGUAAAAACAGCGGUAGCAAUGAGAUUAGAUAUUGUAUCAGAUUAAAUAUUAGAUUGAACUCGUAUUUUUGAAAAUUAAGACAACACACGUUUAAUAAAAUACCAAUUUUGGGCGUCGCGACGGUGCUAAUACCUAUCUCAUGCGUAACAAACUCUCAGACUCUAAUUUUCUCUAGGUUUCGACGCAAACUUAAAAUCAACUCUUUUUUAAAGAAAAUAAAAAGAAGUUUUCUUUUAAAAAGAGAAUUUAUUAGGUGUUCAAUCACAUCUAAAAAAAAGAGAUCGAUGGCGACUCCUCUUUUAAAAAAAAUAUAAAAUAGAGACUCCGUUUUUAAAUUUUCAAUCCAAUGUAAAUUUAAGGUCACUCCAAAAACCAAGAUGUUUUUUCAGUGGGAUCAAAGCAAAUAUCAUAUCCUAACCCUAUGUAAUAACUAUGAAGAAAGAAAGAGAAGAUAAGGACAAAAAUUAGAAGAUUAAAGAAAAGAAGUGAUGUGGUUUAUUUUAUUUUGAUAGAUAAAAUUAGUAAAGGAAACUAAAUAUUUCUAAUAAUCAUUUUCACCAAAUAUUUAAUAAAAUUUCUAAUAAAUAUUUUUACUAAAUGACUUAAAAAAUAUAAAUAAAAAUUUAUAUAAACAUUCAGCCCUUUAUUACUCAACACACGUAGAUCAAUGCCAUUAAAUCACCUUAAUAUUUAUUUCAAUUCCUUUUAUUCUCAACUCAUGUUUAGUUGUUCGUACAAAUGCCCCUGCUUUAACAUUCGCAAGCAAUAACAUCACCACCAAAAAGAUCAAGAAGUUGCUAAGAUCAAGAUCAACAAGCUACACAAGUCAGAACAAAAUCAACAAUAUUGAAAAUAGACACUAAAACUCAUUCUAGUUUCCACAAUCUUUUAUCACUCUGCAAUGGUUAUGUACAACUGAUUCACAUUGCAAGUGAUGAUCUUUACACAAUUUGUGAAACAUUUCAGAGCAAGAUUGAUUUGUUAGAGUAUAUGAUAAGAUCCAUAAAUAAGGUGGCAGUGAAUAUAUCUGCAGAAAAGCCCUUACCAACCAUUUCCGUAAGAAGUUGUGUUGCCUUUGAAGUAUAGCUGUUGCGAAGGAACCCCCGAAUCAUUACAUUAUAACAGCAGCUAUUAGGCAAACAGUCAUUAUCUCCCAUGCUCCCGAACAACCUGUAUGCUUCAUCUGGCAAUCCCUCUUUACACAGUCCAUUAAUCAUUAUACAAUAUGUGUAAACAUCCGGUUUUAAGCCAUUGUCUGAGAGUUGAUGAAAUAAUUCCUUGGCAACUUCGAUAUGCCCAGCUUUACAAAACCCAUCAAUUAGUAUAGUAUACGGGACAAUAUCAAGUUUUAACCCACUGGUUUGCAGUGCUUGAAAAAGUUUCAAUGCCUCUUCGAUAUGACCUGUUUUGCAUAAACCAUCCAGCAAAAUCAAACAGGUUGCUAUGUCUGGAGCUUGUCCAGAAGCAAGCAUCUUUCUAAAAAGUUCACAUGCAGUUGAAACUUUCCCUAACUGAAACAUACUCUGCAUAAGAGUGUUGUAUGUGACAGUAUCCGGGAUUGGUCCCUUUCGAGAUAUUUCAUGAAAGAGUUCCAUUGCUUCGUCUAACCUUUUACCUUUGCAAUAUCCAUUGAUCACGGUGUUGUAACUAUACUAGGUGCACAACCCUUCUCAAUCAUCAAGUUGAAAACUCUUCUAGCUUUAUCCGUUUCAUUCUGCAAGCAAUGACCAUUAACUAAUGCACUAUAGGUAACAACAUUAGGCUCAAUGCCUCGCUUUAUCAUUGCGUCAACAAUAUCCUCAGCUUCAGAGACCAUCCCUUCCUUGCAAUGCGCAUCAACCAAUGUACUAUACGUGACAACAUUAGGCUCAAUGCCUUGCUUUCUCAUCAUGUCAAUGGUCUCUACAGCUUUAGAAAUUGUUCCUUCCUUGCAAAGAGCAUCAACCAAUGUAUUAUACGUGACAAUAUCAAGUGAAAUAUUGUUAUCAACCAUUUCACUCAAAAGCCUUGUUGCCUCCUCCUGCUGGCCCAAAUUACACAUACCAUGAAUUAAGCAGUUAUAAGUAAUGAUAUUUGGUCUAAUGCCCUUAACCUUCAUUUCAGAUAAGAGAUUGAGAGCCUCCUGUAACAAACCGUUCUUACAAAGGCAGUCAAUGACAAUGCUAUAUGCUACAAUAUUAGGUUCAAAGCCUCUGCUUUCCAUCAACCUUAGAAACCUAACAGCUCUAUCAGUAUUGCCGGUCUUAGACAACCCCUUAAGUACUGUAUUGUAAACAAUCAAAUGAGCUUGAUACCCUUUUUCAGUCAUUUCAUCGAACAUACAAACGGCCUCAGAAAUCUUACUUUGAUUACAAAGCCCAUUUAUCAAAGUUGAAAAAGUUACAGCACUAGGCUCAACACCUAACUUCAGCAUUUUCCCCAAAACAGAAAACCCAAAAUCAAUUCGACCUAAUUGACAAAUGCAAUUAAUCAAGAUGUUCAUAGAAUAAACAUUAUGGGAAACUCCCAAUAAUUCGAUCUGUCUAUACUUAGAAACAACAAUGGCAUAAUGUUUCGUCUUAACAAUGGCUCCUAAUAAUUUAUUGAAUUCCACAAUUGAAGGCUUUGGGUACUUUUCAAUCAUCUUAUUGAACAAACUCAAAGCAUGAUCAACAUUAUCGGAGCGGUGGUCUCUUUUCCCCUUUCCUCUAACAGGCAUGGACAUGGGUUUCUUACUUAGGCCUUCGAUGUGGGUAGCAAUGGUGUUAGAAGAAGAAGAAAAGGGAUGGAAAUUAGAAAGAUGGCUUCCAGCAUUAACAACCGAACGAAGAAUAAAAGAAGAAGGAAGCUUACCCAUAUCUUGAAAGCAGAAAUGACAGCGGCAGUAGCAGAAGAAGUGUAAAUUUUGGGUUGCGAAGUGGUGUUUAGGGAAAGGGUUGGGACUUGGGAGCGUAAUUUGGGUUUUUUUUUUUUAAUGUGAAUAAUAUUUAAUAAAAAAAUUAAACUUUAUUUUUAAAUGCAAUCUUUAGUUAUUAAUAAUAUUAUUAUAUACUUAUAAAUCUUCCUUUUAAAUUUAAUAAAAUUACUAUUAACUUCAAAAGAUUUUUAGACUAACUUUAAUAAAAUUUAUUAAAUUUAAAUUUUUAGACUGACUUGAGAAAAUAUGCUAAGAUUAAAAUAGUUCUAUAAAAUACUCUAUUUUUAUAAUUUAUAUUUUGUCGAUGCAUCUAACAGCGAGCAAAACUUGAUUUGAUUAAAACAAAUAAAAAUAAAAAACCAAAUUUCAAGUUAAUCGAAUCGAGUUAUUUAAUUUUUUCGAGUCAACUAGAAUAAGUAAUUCGAGUUUAAGUCGAUUCGAAUUUUACAAUUCAAAUAAGUUAAAUAAUUUAAAUAACAUACUGGUGUAAAUAACUUUUUGGUCUCUAUCAAUUUUGAGAAUAAACAAAUUAGUCUCUAUCAACAAAAAUUACAAAUAAAAUUAAAAAAUAAAAAAAUAUUUUUUAAUAUUUAAAUAUUUAUAAGUUUUCAAAUUUUAUAUUUUUAAAAAAUUAUAAAAUUUAAAAAAAAUCUAAAGAAUAUAUAAAGAAAAUUUAAUUAUUCAUCCAUCAUUACAUUCCUCCAUACUCCCAUACUUCGCAUAUAAUUUAUUUUAAUCAAAAUAUCACAUAUCAAGCAUUCAACAAUAUAUCGUAAUCAAUAGUGAUUUUUCCAGAAACUAUUCAUCAAUACAACAAACUUAUGCUUACAUCUAGGCACACUUUUGGACACCAACUUAACAUGCAUCAACAUUACAAUAGAAAUCUCACCCAAAACAUUAGAUAUGCAGAGUAACUGGUAGACAAAUUAGAAAUCUUCAUACACAUAACAUCGUACCCAUCAAACAAAUUAUUAAUUCCAUGAAUUAAGCUCAUAACCAACAUGCACCUUAUCUUGUAACACACAUCUGCGGCUAUGGCAACUUUUCCAAGACAAGGAAACACUUCAUUAUAAACAUAAUACACAACCUAAACAUCAUAGUAUAAAGUCAUGUAAGACAAACACUGAAGAUUUGAGUUUAGGAGCUCAUUGACAAAACACCUCAAGGAUGUAUCACCUACUAGCUUGACUUUCCCCUUGUUGUUAGCUCCCUCUCCGUCUCCGUCGACUAAAAAGUAAAAAUCAUAUAAAAUCGAUCGUAAGACAUUUAUGAGUAAGACAAUCGGAUUCUAAAAACAUGUAAAGUAUACUCUCUACUUAACAUGCUUAUUUUCCUUACAAUCCACAACCAACAUUUAGUUGGAUGUCCGUAGUUCAUUACUUUCUUUCAAAAUCAAAAGACACAGAAAAUAAUAAGAACAUUACCAGUUCUCAAAUUCACCUUUGAUUAAGCUACUUUGCUACAUAUAUUUUUUUUCCAACAUGCAGCUUGACUCCCUCACUUCUUCUGCAAAGGCCGAUUGUUGAAGCUCAGAAAUGGUUUCUCCAUUUUUCUCUUUUGUGCUUCGGUUGAAGAAAGAAACAUGAUGACCCCCUUUUCUUUCUUUCCCCCCUUAUAUAGUCAUUCUCUUAUUGACCGUUCCAACCUUUCCAUACAAGCACUAACCCAAAUUAAAACAAAAUAUCAGAAACAAGCCAUUAUUUUUCAACAGACCCCUCAAAAAAAUUGAAAUAAUUAUUAAUGCCUAAUUUAUCCCCAAAAUUAUUUUCAACUCGAUACACACAGGACGCCAUAGGAUCUAACUAAAACAUAUAAAAUAAUUUAGGGUUUGCCGUUCCAUAUGGCCAAGUUUUUGCUCAAAAAAUCGGAUGUGACAACAUACCCACCUUAAAGAGAAAUUUCGUCCUUAAAAUUUCCUUACUAAUUAAACAAAUGAGGGAUUUGAUCCAUCAAAGAACUUUCACUACCAUUAGUAACUUAUUCCACCCCGUGACAUGUACAUUUUGAAGAUCGUGAAAUAAUAGAUUUGUCAUAGUGGAAGAUCUAGAAUUAAUCCACACUAUCUUAAUUGUAAUCUAGAUGAAUAUGAGUGCUAGGCACCGUUCUCAUAUAGGCAAUCUUGCGUAAUCAUGUAGCACACAAGGAUAAAAUGUACAUAUUGGCGUGAACCGCGCUUUGCUGUAAUACAUGCAUUAGCCCCAUCCGCCCAAUGGCGUACCUCUUACAUUAGAACAACUCGCAAGGAAUUUUACUUGUACUCAGGGUCAGCUUACUGGCAUAUGAUUUUCAUAAAUAGUUUGUAACACCCUCUACUCGACCCAAAUCACCAAGUCUGGAUAUUGGAUGUUACAACACAUAAACACUUAACAAAAAUUUAAAACAAUUAGCGUAUAACCCCUUUUCAACAUACUUCUUAUUAUUUUAUUAAGUGUCUUCAAAACAAAAUAAAUAAAGAAAAUAUCUAAGAAUACAUCAUACUUUUAAAAGUAAUAUAAGACAUUACAACUUAAAAGUUUGAUAAAGACACUCUACAUAGCAUAGAGUACUAAACACCAUGGCAAUAUUGUGCCCUCUAUAUGCAUAAAAUCGUAACUCAAACAGAUAACUUAGCAUAAUCCUUGUUUGGUCCUUCCUACUCAAAUUAGAACCUACAACAAGACAAACACUUGUAAGUUCAAAUGAACUUAGUGAGUUUUGAUUAGAUUACCUUAAAGCAUUUGUUGUUGAUUUCUUAUUCUGAAUAUUUUGGAUUUUCUUUCUAUCUUCGACAGAUACUUUUCCAAUGUCAGGGCAUACUUAUACGCCAACUUCAGACUUGAUCAUCUUACACAUAAUACACUUUAUAGGCGGAUUACAGAAUUUACUACUUAUUACGGGUUUUAUGUCCUUUGCAGUUAGCAAAUGCAUUUCUCAUAAAAAUACCCAUACAAAACUUACCUUCUGCAAAUUUUCACUCUAACGACCGUUAAAUAUUUAAUCCAGAAUGGUGUUGUAAUGACCCAAAAUUCACGGGCAUCAGAAAAGUACAAUAUCAGGCCUCCGUCUUAGUGAAAUGGGUUCGUAAUUAAUUAUUAGAAAUAUUUAUGAGACUAGUGGUGUGCCUAAGUAGGUUCUAAUUAGGUGAAUUUAGCUUAAUUAAGAGUAAUUAGGAAAAAGGACUAAAGUGAAUAAAGGGUAAAAGUUGAAUUGUAGAUUAAAAGAAAAUGAAAAGGACCAAAAUGGCAAAUAAGCCAUUUAGCAUAAGUUGAGGCGGCAAACAAAGCAAAAAUCUAAGAUUUUUGUUUGUUUAAUUAAUUUGGCACCAAAUGUAAUAUUCCUAUAUUAGGUUCCUUGAGUCAAACAUGGUAUAGGGGUAUUACAUUUAGUGGUAUCAGAGCCUAGCUUUUCUAAUUACUGGGAAAAGAACGAGUCUAGAAGUACAUGCCAUAUAAGAUAUAUCGAUGUCAAUAUUAGAAGCAUUGAUAAGUUUGAAAAUACGAAUUAUUACUAAUAAGGAAAUGAUUUUUGAAUUAAUUAUUAAUGACUUAAGAGGGAAAUAGAUAAAUACUGAAAUUUGAUAAAAACUUAUUUUUUGUCAUAGAUAUUGGAAGAAAUGACAAUAUUUUUGAUAUUGUCUAAUGAGAUAACAACUUCAGCAUAGAGGGAGAAAGUUGAUAAGAUGAUGAGAGAAGUGCAAGAUUAUAGAAUGAAACCAGAAGAAGACAUAGUUCAGCACUUUAUUACUGUAAAUCGAAAGAUGCAAGAAGUGUUAUGGAAGGGUCACGAAUUGAUUAGAAAGAAUAAAGUGCAAUAUUUGACCCUUAGAGGAACAUUAAUAGAAUGAGAGCACCAAAUGAUUUUAGACCAACUUUGGAAGACAUUGGUGCCACAAACUUAUUGGAAUAUAGUUAUAUAUUUUAUGAAGUUUAUAAUCUCUGAAGGAGCAAAGAAGACAGCGAGACAAAGUGUAAGCUCACGAAAGUUGACUAGGAAGCAAGAUGUCUUUAACAUGCCGUGGAUGGAAAAAUUAGUAGUUAGGAAAUUAGCAAGAGAAAUUAUAGAUUCAAUACCCAUUAUAAAGAUGGAAGAGGAAGAAGAUCCUGAGGAAUUUUCAAAUUGGAUUGUAGAAGAUGAAUUUGAAUAGAAUUUAGAACUUAAUAUAGAGAAUUUUUCGGGAGAAGAUACAAAAUUAGAGAUGGAAGAAGACACAGAAAUGGAUUUAAAUGGUUAGAAGUAAAAGUUAUGUAGUAGUAAAUAUGAAGGAAAAUGAAUAUAUAUAUAUAUAUAAAUAUAUAUAGUUGUAUGUGUAUAAAAUGAGAACUUAGAAAGUCAGAGCUUUUAAAUGAAAAGUUUGGUACAUUAAUAUAAGUUUAGUCUUUUGGAAAUAGAGGAGAUAAUAGAAAUAUGAGAAGUAGAAUAGAAUAGUAAUAUUUUUCAAUUAUGAAGAUCAGAAAAUGAAUUUUUUUUUUUUAGAAAGAAGUAUUGAAAGAAAUAAAAACCUUAGUUAAAAAAAAGAGAAGAAGAAGAAAUAGCAAAGUUGUAAAAUGUGUAAUAAAAGAGGUAAACUUUGGAAAGAACAAUUACCUCAAGGAGACUGUUGGCAGCGGCCGGGCCAAUAGAUUUCUAAAAGGUUUGGAUUAAGAGUAAUAACUUUGAUCCAUAACUGGAAUAAUCAUUGUUUACCUCGAAAAGACAAAGGAAAUGAAAAUGAGAAAAUAAAAGUAUAACAAAGAAGAGUCUAAAUAAAAUAUAUAUAUAGGAUUAUAAGAAUAACUCCAAAGAUAAUCUACUAAAGGUUUUUGAUUCUUAUAGAAAGAAUAUUGUCAUUUAUAGUGAUGAUUCUUGAACGGUUUUAGUCGUGUUUUGAUGUAAGACUAGAAGUGAUUGCUUAUGCAUCUAGUCAGCUAAAAAUGUAUGAAUGUAAUUAUCUAACACACGAUUUAGAAACUAGCUGUUAUGGUUUUUGUUCUAAAGAUUUUGAUACACUAUUUGUAUAAUAAAAAGUGUUAUAUUUAUACCGAUCAUAAAAGUCUCAAAAAUCUUCUAUUUCAAAAGAGAGUUGAAUUUAAGAUAGCGUCGUUAGAUAGAACUUUUGAAAAAAAAUUUUGAUUGUGUCAUUGAUUAUUACUCUGAUAAAGCUAAUGUUAUAGCUAAUGUAUUAAGUAGGAAAGCAGCAAUUGAAUUGUGAACAAUGUUUGCUCAGCUUAGUAUCAAUGACGAUGAAAGCUUAUUGGCUGGAUUAAAAAUCAAAUCGGUGAUGUUGAUUAGAUUAAGUCAAUGUAGUUAGAAAAUGACAAAUUGGUGAAGAAAAGAGAAAUGAUUCAGAAUGGUAUAUUAGAAAAUUUCAGCCUUGAUAAUUGUGGUUGCUUGAGAUUUCACAAUCGAAUUUGCGUUCUGGAUAUUUCUAAAUUGAAAAAGUUGAUACUUCACAAAGCUCAUAAUAGUCCUUUUGUUUUGCAUUCUAGAAGAACUAAAAUAUAUUACGAUUUACAAAAAUUUUAUUGGUGGUCAAGAGUGAAAAAAGAUGUGGUCGAGUAUGUGGAUAAAUGUUUGACUUAUCAAUGAGUUAAGGUAGAGCAUUAGGUUCCUACUGGAUUAAUUUAGUUUAUUAACAUUCUUGAAUGGAAAUGGGAAUUGUGUUGCUAUAUUUGUAACAGGACUAUGCUUAUCAGCAAGUAAAAAGAAUGCUAUUUGGGUGAUUGUUGAUAGGCUUACGAAAUCAGCUCAUUUUGUAGUAAUCAGAACUGAUUGGUCACUUCAAAAACUUAUUGAAGUUUAAAUUCGGGAAAUUAUGAGGGUGUGCAGUAUUCCUAAUUAUUGAAGGAAAGAAAAAUGAUAGGGCUAGAAUUUAUCCAAGAAACGAAAGAAAUUGUUAAGAAGAUUCGAGAUAGACUAAAGGCAGCUUCAAUAGAUAGAAAUCAUAUACAGAUUUAAAACGUCGAGAUAUUGAGUAUUCUAUUGGCGACAAAAUAAUUUUAAAGUAUCGUUUUAGAAGAUAAUAUUCAGAUUAGGUCGAAAAGAAAAACUGAGUCCUCGUUUUAUUAAGCCGUGAGAAAUUAUAGGAAGAGUUGGGCCAGUUGCUUAUUGCUUAGUAUUUCCUCUGAAAUUACAAAAGAUUCAUGAUGUUUUUCAUGUUUUUAUUCUACGGAGAUAUCGAUUAGACCUUUCCCAUAUUAUUUCGACAGAAGAUAUUAGCUCGAAAGGUAAAGGAGUUACGGAAUAAACAGGUUCCAUUAGUGGAAGUGUUGUGGAGAAGUCAUAGUGUAAAAGAAACAAUUUGGGAAUCGGAAGAAACUAUGAGAUUUCAGUACCCCCAUUUCUUUUUAGGUAAAUUUUGAGGACAAAAUUUAUUAAGGCAGGGAGAAAUGUAAUGACCCAAAAUUCAUAAGCAUCGAAAAAGUGAAAUAUCGAGCCUCCGUCUUAGGGAAAUGGGUUCGUAAUUAAUUAUUAGAAAUAUUUAUGAGACUAGUGGUGUGUCUAAUUAGGUUCUAAUUAGGUGAAUUUAGCUUAAUUAAGAGUAAUUAGGAAAAAGGACUAAAGUGAAUAAAGGGUAAAAGUUGAAUUGUAGAUUAAAAGAAAAUAAAAAGGACCAAAAUGACAAAUAAGCCAUUUAGCAUAAGUUGACGUAUUAAUUAAUAUAAAUAAAUAAAUUAGUUAUAAAUUUAAUUAUGUUAAAUUAUAAUAAUUAUAUUAUAAUUAAUAAAAUAAGGACAAGUGUAUGGUGAUGAUAAAACACACGUGUAAUGAAUAUAUGUAAACAUUUGUAGUAUAAUUAUUUAUUUACUUAUAUUCUAAAACUAAAGAUAUUUAUUAAUAAAUUAAUUUAUUAUAAAUAUCAUAUUAUAAAUUGAAUUAGAAUAAAGCUGGUGAUAAAAAUAUACAAAUGUAAUAAUAGUAUUUGUACACUUGUAAUAUAUUUAUUCAAUAACUUUUUAAGUAAAUAGAUAUUUAUAUUAUUAUUAUUAUUAUUGUUGUUGUUGUUGUUGUUAACUAAUAUAUAUAUAUAUAUAAUAAAGUAAAAUGAAGGAAAGAAAUAAAACAAAGAAGAAAAGAAACAUAGAGCAAUUCGAAACAGGGGAAAGGAGAAAGGAAAAGGAAAAGGAAAAGGAAAAGGAAAAAUUAGGGUUUUGAAGCUUAAAGCUUUAAUUAGUUACUCAAUUAAGUCCUUUUUACUUAAUUUUGAUGUUUUAGAGGUCUUAGAACAAAGUUUCGUUGAAUAUAAGUUAAAAUUUUGAAAGUUCUUAGAUUUUUUAAUAUGAUUCAUGUUGAACAAAUUGUUGAAUUAGGGGUUUGACUGAUAGAAUUUCUAGUUAGAAUUGAUAAAUGGGGUUAAAUUGUAAAGUAAGCUAUAAGUUUUGUGUUAGAAAGAUUAAAUUGAAAGAAAUCUGAAAUUAGGGUUUAUUCAUGAACAUUAGAUAGUUAAGUUGAAUUUGGUAGGAAAUUGAGUAGAAAUAAUGUAUGAAUUGAAAUAGAAAAAUAAGUAAAUUUAAUUAAGACUAAAUUGAAAUUGAGGUAGAAAUUGAAUAGAAAUUCAAUUAUUAUUAUAAAUUAAUGUUGUAAUUAAUAGUGUAAAUUAUUAUCAUUUUCGUAGCUAACAAGGAACCUGAGGCAUCCAUGAAGAAAGGAAAAGAAAAGUGGACGAGGAGUAGACACGAGAAUCAUGGUUUGUAUUACUAUAAUUCAAAUCUAUUUAUUAUUAAUUGUUAUAUUUUAAUUAAAAUGCAUGGAAAGUAAAAUUAAGUAAGCAAUUGAAAUGAUAAUAUUGGUUUGAAUGAAAUUGAUUCAAAAAUGUUUAUGGCUAUUGAAGUUGAAUGUGAACAAAUUGGAAAUUAAAAUUGAUUUGAAUUGAAUCAAAUUGAAUUGAAUGAAGAAAAUACGUGAGUAUUUAAAAGGUAUAUUGAUUGAAAAAUAAUUACUGAUUUGAAUUUGAUUGGAAAAUGAAUUAAAAAUAUGAAUUGAAUAAAAGUGAAUUAAAUUAUGAUUAUGUGUGAAUAUCUUAAAUAUGUAUUGGUAUUGAAUUGUAUAUUGAUUAGAAAGUGGAAAGUGAAUUUCAAUUGAAUUGUGAUUGAAUCGAAAGUAAAUUUGAAAUAGAAAAAUAAUUUGAACACCCUAUUAACUAGUCGGGCUGAGUCGGAUAUAGUUGGCAUGCCAUAGGAUUUGAAAGAGUACGGGAUUUAUCGGCUUUGCCGAUCAGACACUAUAUGUGUCGUAUAUCAGGCACUUCGUGUGUCGUUUCAAGUAAUUUAUGUGUCGUAUAUUGAUCGGGUACUAUGUAUCAUUUUCGACACAAUGUGUCGUACUGGUGUGUUUGGUUGGAUCCCUGUAUCCCCCAAAGUCCGAGUCUUGUUAAUAGGGGUGAAUAAAUGAAUUGACAAAAAUUGAAAGAAAUUAAAUGAUUUGUUUAAUAAGUAAAAACGAGAAAAUUUGAAUAAAAGUGAUUGAUUGAGCUAUGGAAAGAAAUGAGAAAGUGAAAAUGUGAAUUUGAUAUGUGAAUUGGAAAUUGAGAUAUGAGAUUUGAAGUUAUGAACACAAGGUUCAUAAUUUGAUUAAGAUUAAAUUUUUGACAUAUGAUAUUAGUAGAUACAAAUUGCAAAGGAAUUGAUAUUGAAUAAGUGAUCAAUUGUAUGAAUUGCAUAUGAAUUGAAAUGAGAUUGAAAAAUUGCAAUGAAAUUGAAAUAGUGAAAUAUGGUAUGAAUUCAAUUUGAUACAAGAUUUGAAAUAUUGCUUAUCGUUACUAUUGAACAAGUCGAUUUAAAGUAUGAGAAAAUUUAUGAAUAAUUGUAGGCAUAAUUUGAAUGUAUAUAAUUUAUCCAUAAAAUGGAUAAUGAUAUAAUGAAUUGAAAUGCAUGAACCAAAGGUUUAUGAAAAGAGAAUUGUUAUUGGUAAAUGAUAUGUUGGGUGAAUAUCAUCGGUUUGUGUUAAAUACGAUACGCCCUUUUAAAAAAUAAAAAAAUAUUCAAAAAUUCUCGGGUCUUAAAAUAAAAUGUUUAUUUUUGUGGUCUUUUUAUUAUCAAAUUUUCAUUUUUGAAUGUAUAAUAAUAUGUAAUUUAUCAAAAUUCUCGUGUUUUAAAAAAAUUCUCGUGUUUCAAUCGGAUCACAAUUAAAUAUUAAAUUGAACCGAUUUGACAUUAAUUCGUUGAUUUCAUCGCUAUGCUGGGUGAAUAUCAUCGGUUCGUGUUAAAUACGAUAUGUCCUUUUUUUUAAAAAUCGUGUUUCAAAAAUUUUCGUGUUUCAAAAAUUUUGCGUGUUUUCAAAAAAUUCUCGUGUUUAAAAAUUUUCGCAUUUUCAAAAAAUUUCAGUGCUUCAAAAAUUUUCUUAUUUUCAAAAAAUUAUCGUGUUUCAAAAAUUUCCAUGUUUUCAAAAAAAAUUAUUAUGGUGUUUCAAAAUUCUCGUGUUUUAAAAAAAUUCUCGUGUUUCAAUCGGAUCACGAUUAAAUUUUAAAUUAAACUCGUAUUUUGAAAAUUAAGUCAACGCGCGUUCAACGAGAUACCAAUUUUGGGCAUCGCGAGAGUGUUAAUACCUUCCUUAUGCGUAACUGACUCUCGAACCCUAAUUUUUCUGGAUUUUGACGUAAACCUAAAAUUGACUCUUUUUUUAGAAAAUUGAAAAAUAAUUUUUCUUUUAAAAAAGAGAAUUUAUUAGGUGUCCAAUCACACCCAAAAAAAAGAUCGGUGGCGACUCCCUUUUUAAAAUAAAAUCGAAACUCUGUUUUCAAAUUUUUAAUAAUUACUUCGACUAGCGCCCGUGCAAAAAUUUUUAGGUCGCUACAAUAUGCAACCUAAACCUUAAACGUAUUGUAAUAUAUACAAUUAACAUGAUGCAAAGGAACAAUUCAUGACAUUGACUUCAAUUAGGGUUAAAUCAAAUUUCUCACAAAUUAGGGGAAAGAAAGACAAAAACUGGCAUACGAUUGAAAAUACUUUGCAACCUAUAUUUGAUGAGGUCAUUAAGGUGGUGAAGCAAAAGGUUGGAAUUCAAAUAGUUAAUUCAAUCAUAUAGGUCUAAAUAUAAUUUUACCAUUGUAAUGAUUUUUGAAAACAUGAUACAAUAAUAUACUAUAAUUUUAUUUUAGUUUUUUUUUAAAAUGUCACCUUGCUUUAGAGAACAACAUUCAAAGAGUUAACACAUGAGGUUAAAGAGUCUAAAUUCAUAUAAAUCUCAUUUAAAAAAAAAUCCAAUGAUGGAUUUUGAGACUAAAUUUUAAGGGGUUUAAUUAUAAUUUUUUUUAAAAAUAAGAGUGUAGCGAUAAUAUUUUAAAAGAAUUGAGGUUUGAUUACAAUUUUUAAAAAUUUGCGGGAUUGAUGAUUGUUUUUCAAAAAAAAGAAGAGUUUAAUUAAAACUUUCAAAAAAAAAAUUUAGGGAAUAUUGAAUAUUUCCAAAAGUUUUGGCCCAUUGGGCACCAUUACUGUCCUCCACUAAAAAAACUAAGAUAUUUUUUUUAUUGUGGGAUCAAAGCAAAUAUCAAAUCCUAACCCUAUGUAAUAACUAUAAAGAAAGAAAGAGAAGAAAAGGGAAAAAAAUGAGAAGAUUAAAGAAAAGAAGUAAUGUGAUUUAUUUUAUUUUGAUAGAUAAAAUUUGUAAAGGAAACUACAAAUUUCUAAUAAUCCUUUUAUUCUCAACUCAUGUUUAGUUGUUCGUACAAAUGCCCCUGCUUUAAAAUUCACAAGCAAUAUUGGUUUUCCCCUAAUUUCUUAACAUCACCACCAAAAAGAUCGAGAAGUUGCUAAGAUCAAGAUCAACAAGCUACACAAGUCGGAACAAAAUCAACAAUACUGAAAAUAGACACUAAACCUCAUUCUAGGUUCCACAAUCUUUUAUCACUGUGCAAUGGUUAUGUACAACUGAUUCACAUUGCAAGUGAUGAUCUUUACACAAUUUGUGAAACAUUUCAGAGCAAGAUUGAUUUAUUAGAGUAUAUGAUAAGAUCCAUAAAUAAGGUGGCUGUGAAUAUAUCUGCAGAAAAGCCCUUACCAACCAUUUCCGUAACAAGUUGUGUUGCCUUUGAAGUAUAGCUGUUGCGAAGGAACCCCCGAAUCAUUACAUUAUAACAGCAGCUAUUAGGCAAACAGUCAUUAUCUCCCAUGCUCCCAAACAGCCUGUAUGCUUCAUCUGGCAAUCCCUCUUUACACAGUCCAUUAAUCAUUAUACAAUAUGUAUAAACAUCUGGUUUUAAACCAUUGUCUGAGAGUUGAUGAAAUAAUUCCUUGGCAAAUUCGAUAUGCCCAGCUUUGCACAACCCAUCAAUUAGGAUAGUAUACGGGACAAUAUCAACUUCCAACCCACUGUUUCGCAUUGCUUGAAAAAGUUUCAAUGCCUCUUCGAUAUGACCUGUUUUGCAUAAACAAUCCAGCAAAAUCAAACAGGUCGCUAUAUCUGGAACUUGUCCAGAAGCAAGCAUCUUUCUAAAAAGUUCACAUGCAGUUGAAACUUUCCCUAACUGAAACAUACUCUGCAUAAGAGUGUUGUAUGUGACAGUAUCCGGGAUUGGUCCCUUUCGAGAUAUUUCAUGAAAGAGUUCCAUUGCUUCGUCUAACCUUUUACCUUUGCAAUAUCCAUUGAUCAUGGUGUUGUAAGUAACUAUAUUAGGUGCACAACCCUUCUCAAUCAUCAAGUUGAAAACUCUUCUAGCUUUAUCCAUUUUAUUCUGCAAGCAAUGACCAUUAACUAAUGCAUUAUAGGUAACAACAUUAGGCUCAAUGCCUCGCUUUAUCAUUGUGUCAACAAUAUCAUUAGCUUCAGAGACCAUCCCUUGCUUGCAAUGCGCAUCAACCAAUGUACUAUAUGUGACAACAUUAGGCUCAAUGCCUUGCUUUCUCAUCAUGUCAACGGUCUCUACAGCUUUAGAAAUCAUUCCUUCCUUGCAAAGUGCAUCAACCAAUGUACUAUACGUGACAACAUCGGGCUCAAUGCCUUGCUUUCUCAUCAUGUCAACGGUCUCUACAGCUUUAGAAAUCGUUCCUUCCUUGCAAAGAACAUCAACCAAUGUAUUAUACAUGACAACAUUAAGUGAAAUAUUGUUAUCCACCAUUUCAUUCAAGAGCCUUGUUGCCUCCCCCUGCUGGCCAGAAUUACACAUACCAUGAAUUAAGCAAGUGUAAGUAGAGAUAUCUGGUCUAAUGCCUUUAACCUUCACUUCGGAGAAGAGAUCGAGAGCCUCCUUCAACAACCCGUUCUUACAAAGACAGUCAAGGAUGGUAUUAUAUGCUACAAUAUCGGGUUCAUAACCUCUGCUUUCCAUCAACCUUAGAAACAUAACAGCUCUACCAGUAUUACCGGUCUUACACAACCCCUUAAGUACUAUAUUGUAAGCAAUCAAAUUAGGUUGAUACCCUCUUUCAGUCAUUUCAUCGAACAUACAAACGGCCUCAGAAAUCUUACUUUGAUUACAAAGCCCAUUAAUCAAAGUUGAAAAAGUUACAGCACUAGGUUCAACACCUAACUUCAGCAUUUUCCCCAAAACAGAAAACCCAAAAUCAAUUCGACCUAAUUGACAAAAGCAAUUAAUCAAGAUGUUUAUAGAAUAAACAUUAUGGGAAAUUCCCAAUAAUUCGAUCUGUCUAUACUUAGAAACAACAAUGGCAUAAUGUUCCGUCUUAACAAUGGCUUCUAAUAAUUUAUUGAAUUCCACAAUUGAAGGCUUUGGGUACUUUUCAAUCAAAUUAUUGAACAAAAUCAAAGCAUGAUCAACAAUAUCGAAGCGGUGGUCUCUUUUUCCCUUUCCUCUAACAGGCAUGGACAUGAGUUUCUUACUUAGGCAUUCGAUGUGGGUCGCAAUGGUGUUAGAAGAAGAAGAAAAAGAGUGGAAAUUAGAAAGAUGGCUUCCAGCAUUAACAACGGAACGAAGAAUAAAAAAAGAAGGAAGCUUACCCAUAUCUUGAAAGCAGAAAUGGCAGCGGCAGUAGCAGAAGAAGUGUAAAUUUUGGGUUGCGAAGUGGUGUUUAGGGAAAGGGUUGGGAGCGUAAUUUGGGUUUUUUAUUUUUAAAUGCAAUCUUCAUAUAUACUUAUAAAUCUUCCUUUUAAAUUUAAUAAAAUUACUAUUAACUUCAAAAGAUUUUUAGAAUAACUUUAAUAAAAUUUAUUAAAUUUAAAUUUAAAUUUUUAGAUUAACUUGAAAAAAUGCUCUAUUUUUAUAAUUUAUAUUUUGUCGAUGCAUCUAAGUGCGAGUAAAAUUUGUUUUGAUUAAAACAAUUACAAAAUAAAUAUUUAAGAGAUAAGUAGUUAAAAUUUUAGUUGUCAAAUUCAACUUUUAUCGUUUAUGUUAAAACUAAAAUUUUAAAAACUAAAAAAUAUAUAAUUAAAAUUAAGCAAAUUUAAAUACAUGAACUAAAUUCACAAUCUAAAUACAAAGACUAUCAAUAAUGUGAAUGACGAAGAUAAUGUUAUUUAUAAAUAAUAUAUAUUUAUAUAUUAUAAAAAAAUGUUUUGUUUUUUAAUUAUAUUUAAUGUGGGACUUAUUUUUAUAAUUAAGUUUUAAAUAAUAAUUAAGUUUUAAAUAUGAUUAAAUGGGUCUAGCUUUUAAUAUAUAUACACAAAAUAUAAAAAGAAAUAACAAAAAUAUAUAAAAAUUUUAAUUAUAUUUAAAGUAAAUCUCAUUUUUAAUUAAUUUUAAUAAUAAAUUAUAUUAAUUAAUUAACUAAAUCAAUCAAAUUUAUGAAUUUAUGAAAUAAAGAUAACAUUACAUUUGUUUAUUUAAAUUAUCAUUUUUUUUAUUUUUACAUGUUGCAAUAAUACUUUUGAAUUUUUUUUAUGAACAUAAUUUUUUUUAUGAACAUACUAAUUUGUAUUUAAUUUUUAAAAUAAUUUUAAUAUUGUAUAUCAAAACUAAUAAAAAAUAUUUUAUGUUUUUGUAUUUUUUAUAAAAUUUUAAGUAAACCACCUCAAUUUACAAAACACUUUUAAGAUAAUUCACCAAAUAAAUUUUAUUGUGUAAGUUCAAGUUUCGACAUUUGGCACUGCACUGCCACGUGGAUUUCAAUGAUAUAAAUUUCUAUAAAAAAAAACCUAUAAUCCAUAUUUUUUUUAACCCCUAACUCCUUAAAUCACUACCCUGCUUGGGCCUCCUGCGGAUAACCUGAAGCUUAAUAUUCAUAGGUAGAGGUGCUCAUGGGCCGGGCCGGGCCCAUAAAAACAUUUCGGCCCUGGCCCAGCCCGGCCCAAAAUAUGGGCCUAAAUUUUGGCCCGAUACCUUCCCGGGAAAAAAAUCUAAGCCCGAGCCCGGCCCGGUCCGGCUCACUUUUUAAAUAAAUACAAAAAAUUUAUUUUAAAAAUAAUUUUUAAAAUAAAUAAAAUAAAUAUUAUAUAUUUAUUAUAUUUCGGCCGGGCCGGGCCCGGGCCAAAAAAGUUGGGCCCGAGCCCUGCCCAUUUUCUAAACGGGCCUCAUUUUUUGCCUAAGCCCAUAUUUCGGGCCUAUAUUUUUACCCAAAUCCUCCCAUAUUUCGGGCGGGCCGUCGGGCCGGGCUGGGCCGCUCGGCCCAUGAGCACCUCUAUUCAUAGGUAAGGUAAGUAUUCAAUCGAGUCGAGUCGAAUCGAGUUAAACAAUUUUGAGUUAGUUAAGUUGAUGAAUUCUAUUUUAGUAACUGAACUCAAUUUGAUUUUUUUCGAAUCGAAUCGAGUCAAGUCGAGUUGAGUUAACAAAUCCUAUUAUUUAUACUCAAUGUUGCAUUUACAUGGGCCGAUUAUUUAACAAGUAGAAGAAGUAGAAAAUUAAUUAACUACAUAAACAAUAUAAUGGUUUUGCCUUUUAACUUAAUGAGUAAAUAUUUAUCAAAACGACGUAGUUUUGCCUUUUCUUAUUUGAAUUUUCGAAUAACUCGAAUUGUGUAAUUCAUAUUCGAGUUAAACCGAAAAACUUGAUUUUUUUAUUUGAUUUGAUCCGAAUAACUCAAAUAACUCGAACUAUUUAAUUCAAAAUUUAAAUUUUUCAUUGAGUUUUUCGAAUUGAAUUAGAUUUUGCUCACCUCUAUUAGAUAUGCAUGCUGCAUCGUAAUAAAAAAUUUAAAGAAUAUUUUACUAUUCAUUAAAAAAGAAAUUUUUAUUGAUUUAUAGAAUCUUAAAGUAUUAAUUAAAACAUUUUUAAAAGUACAACUUCAGACCGUUCUAUUAUUUGUUUAGAAAACGAUCUUCAAUUAGUUAAUUAAUGGAUACUUUAUGGUCACAAUCUUGGCAAAUUCAGUUUAAGUAGAUGCUCUAGUUGCAUGGUGUGGUAGAGGUUGGAACUUAAAUGUUGCUAUGGUUUUUAUUCCAUUCCAUUAGUUGGGAUACAAAUCCGAACAAAUUACGUGAUGAGAGAGUGUCAUAUUAGUUGAAUCGGAUUUUGAACUUUUGUAUAUUGUUUAGCCUAUUAUGUGUUUGAAAGUCAUGUAAUUUGCAAUAUAUAAAAUGUGCAAUUUGAUCAAUUUCUAGUUCAUUGAAUAUUCAUAUUUCAGUGAAGCUUGUCCUGACAAUCUAGCUUAUUGCAGCAUGUCGUAUAUGAUUAGUCACUUCUACCGACAGUGGACAUCCUGAAUAAAAUUAAUUGGCAAUGGUGAUUUAAUCCUACAAAAGGAGCAAACGACAUGCUGUACUUAUUGCAGCAUGCCUUAUAUGAUUAGUCAUUCAGUCUCCCUUUCUCCCUUAUUCCUCACCGACUUAUCUUCCUUUCCAACUUUAAGCCAACUUAAAUGAAUCGACCCUCCUUAGCACCACCACCUUCUCUUCCUUGUUGAACACACACUUAUAUAAACAAUUGGUACAGUGAGUAUAGACUGAGCCAUGACUUCCUCUCAUACUAAACCCAACAAACUUAUCCACCUUCACUAACUCAGCAAACUCAACAGCUCCAAUGACCCCCAUUAACCCCAUCGCCCUUGAGCUUCCUUCAAGCCAAACUCUAACCCAGUUGUCUGCUACUACCUAUUGUACCUCUCUUCCAACCCUCAGUGUUGUUCUCUUGACCUCUUGCACUAUUUUCUUAACCUUUUCUAUCUCUCCCCCAGUUUGUUGUAUCACUCUCUUAGCAUCUUCCACCACUCUUCUAGUUGCUUGCAUCACUCCCUCAAUUGUCAACCCAUAGUCCUAGCCUAUUUGUGCCACAUCAGCUUCAACCAACCCCUAGUGUCUCUUCCUCUAACACUAAGGAGCUCCUCUUGGCAUGCUCUCUCCUCCUGUCUCUUCACUCCACCUUCCAAGGUGGCUACUACCAUCAUCCCAGUGGAUCAAGCCUCUCAACAACAACCCUCUUACUCUCAACACCAAGUCAUUAGGAUGUAAGAGAAAAUGUGACACAAAUAAUUAUACUUAUUUGGUUUAAAAAAUAUAUAUUCAUUUCUUUAAAUGUUUACAAGUGAAUCAAAAUAAAAAUUCUAUGUAUACAUUUGAACCAAAUCAAACUUCAUGUAUCAAAUUACACAUUGAAAUGAAGUUCAUAUAUAAUUUUGAUAUUUAUACUACAUAUAAUAUGAUUUGAACAUAACCAUAAACAUUAAAGCUUUACUUUGACAAUUUCGAUCAUAAUCACAUUUGAUUUUAAAAAAAAAUAUUUUUUUAUAAAUAUAUUUUAUACAUAAAAAAGUUCACCCAAAAGUGUGUAAUAAUUUAGUAUAAUAUAUAUUUAUGUAUAUAUACAUUGAUAUCUUUAAGCAACUUUGUAGGGACUUGAAGUGACCACAUAAACAUACACCUUAGAAGGCCGCAAAUAUUAUUAUAUUAUUUUACUUUGUUUAUUUUACUUUUUGAUCCUUCAACUGUGUAUGGAUCAAAUCGAAAUUCAAUAGCAUAUUCUAUAAAAUUCGAGGUUGAAUAAUAUUUUUAAAUUAGUAGAAUUAAAUGAGAAUUAAAUUGUUUUUAUUUAUAUUCCCAAUAAAUUAGUUUAAAAAAUUCAUUCAUUAUUGUUUUUAUUAUAUAUUUUUUGAACAUUAAAAGAGCUUUAUAAGAUUCCCAAUUGUGUCAUCUAAAUGCAUCCAACUCACGUGAUGAUAUGAUUUUGUUUAAUUUGACAAAAUCAGAAAAGAAUGAGGUUGGUUUUAUCAAUAAAAAUGUUUAUUUUUAACUUUAAUCCGGUUCGGGUUUUGUUCGGAUUGACCAGUAAGAUCAUUUUAUUUUUUUAAAUAAAACUUUAUCCAAUCUAAUAUUUAUAUAUCAAGUCAGUUAUGAAACUACAGAUCAUAUCUAUUUUUUAAAAUUAUAAUUGAUAUUAUUAUGACGAUACAUUUAUCCUUUCAUAAUUUUAUAUCAUCUUCAAAUAGAAAUAAUUAUAAAUUACAAAUCUAAGAAUUAAACACGCACUGAAUAGUAUUAAAAUGUAAAUUUAUUAUCACUUCGCCUAUAUUCAUCAUUGAAUAAACAAUAAUUCGAGUUGAUUAGGCACGGGUCAAAAAUUAACAUUUUUAAGUUCGGUGAUUGGUUCGGAUAGCGGCCCAAACCUAGCUCUUGGUUAAAUUAACAUUUUUUAUACUCAAUUAGAUAUCACAUAGUUGACUGAUACAUUAUGAAAAUGAAGGGGUCUUAGUGAUAAUUUUUUUUAUAUUUGAAUUCCAAUCUUUACUUUUUUUGGUGGGUUUUGAUUAAUUAGUCCAAAACACAUUAUCAUAAUAAUAUGCUUAUUUGUGUCCAGUGAAGAUAGUGAUGUAUCUAUAAUAAUAAUUGGGCUAGGGGUGAAGCUAGAAAAUUUUUGGGGGGCUGAAAUGAAAUUUUAAUUUUUAAUAGUCUACAUCUUAUCAUUUUUAAAGGAUUAAUUUAAAUUUUCAUAAUUUUAGAGGAGGCAAAAGUGAAAUUUUACCUUUACUAAUUUAAAAUUUUAAAAUUUUCUAAAGAGCCAAAACAACAAAUUUCCAUUUUAGGGGGGACGGGGCUCUGCCAACCCCUCUGGAUUCGCCUCUGACACCAACACAGUUAGGGAAAUUACAGAAAUAUUUUUUUUUUAUAAUUAAAAUAAGUUAUAUUACUCGAAGGUAUUUUAAUCUUUUUAUUUUAAUAAAAAUAAAUAAAAAUAUGCAUAUGGUAGGAUUUGAAUCCACAUCAAUUAAAUUGGUAAAAUCUUAUAUUUACUACUCAACCAAAGAUUCUUUUUAAUAUAUUUUAUAUAUUUUUAUUUUAAUAUGCACAAUUACAUAUUUCAUAUGUUAUUAUGACUAAUUAGAUUCAAAUCUUAUGUUUUAUUAUUUUUGUAUCUUAUUUUUAAACCUAUACGUGUUAUCUAAAUUCAUGGUUAUCGCACGCAUAUGCAUGUGUUAGUGUUUCUCGUAUUAAUUUAGUUUUUCUCGUAUUAAUUAUUCUUGUGUUUGUAUUAGAGUUGUGAAGAGAACAUGAAAAACUUUGUCAGUAAAAAUAUUUUGUUUAUAUACAACAUGAAAAUAAUACGAGUACAAAAAUAGGUUAAAAUAUAAGUAAAACAAAUUGUUAGCAUCUAAAAAUUAUUUAAAGAAUAGACAACUGUUCAAUUUUAAGUUCAAUCAGUUUUUAAUCUGACUUUAUUGUUGGUUCAAUUGAUUUAUAGAUCAACUGGUCCAAUCAUUUAUAAGAUUGAUACAUUGAUUAAUUUUCUAUCCAAUUAGUUUGAUCAGAUUUUGAAAAUUGUGUAAAUACCUUUGGAUGGGAUGAAUAUUAUUUAUUGAAAUAUGUUGAUAUAAGGUGCUCGGAUUACAUAUUGUGAAAUAUAUUUAUGUUUAAAGAGUUGGUUAUUAGAUAUAGUAAGACAUAUUACACUUUUAAGGGAAAAACCAAGAUUCAAACUCUGAAAGUGAUAUUGUUACAAGAGACAAAUAUAAAUCUCAACAUGAACUUUAAAAUAAACAUGAAAAAUACCAAAAUAAAGUUGUCGAAACCAUUUUUUUGAAAACAAAAUUUAGUUGUCGCCUUUAAAAACAAAAAACUAGAGUCGCCACCGAUCCUUUAUUGAGGUGUGAUCGGCCCACCUUAAAAAUGAUUUUGGUCUACGAAAUUUGAGAAAACGAGUUCGGGAGUCAGUUAUGCACGAGGAAGGGUUAGCAUCCUCGUGAUGCCCUAAAAUCGGUACCAAAUUGAUUAUUUAGUGUCUUAGUGUCGAGGGUUAAAGAAAUUUAAAAAACUCAAAUGAUGAAAUCUGAAAAGGAUAAUCAAUUGUUCAAGUUAGACGAAGAAAUUGAGAUCCAAUACGUUAGGGUACAAUUUCUCAAAAUCCCCAAACUUUGAAUAUGGCUUUUAUUUUAUAAGAAAAUCUUCAUUUCGAGAAAUAAAUAUGUCAUGUCCAAUACAUUAGGACACGAGUUAAAUUCCCUAAAAUGAUUUUUACAUUUAUGCGUUUUGAAAAAGAUAUGCUCGAUUAUUUAAGUUUAACAAGGAAAAUUGGAACCCAAUACGUUAGGGCUCAAUCUUCUCGAAAAUCCCAAAUAUCGAAUAUCGCAUUAUCUUGAAAGCCUUUGAACAAAAAUGAUUUUAAUGCUUUAAUGAAAACAUAUAUUUUCUUUGAAAGCAUGAUAAAAUGUUAAUAUACAACAUGGAACACAUACGUUAAUUUAAAUUAUAUGUAUAUGUAUUAUAAAAUGUCAAUGCAUAUAUAUACAUGUAUACAAAAUUUAUGAAAAUAAAAGAAUAAUAAAAAAUAUAUAAAAUGUGUACAUGUAUUUACAAAAUAUGUAUAUAUAUAUAUUUAUGAAAAUAAAAUAAUAAAAAAUGUAUUUAGGUUUAUACAGAUGUAUAUAAAUUGUUAAAUAUAUGAAAAAAAUAGAAAUUUGAAUAUAUAAAAAUUAAAAUAUGUAUGUAUAUAGGUAUAUAUAUGUAGGUAUGUAAAAAAAAUUAUGAAAAUAAAUAAUAAAAACGUAUAUAUAAAAGUAGGUAUAUGUACAUAUUUACGAAAGUAAAGUAAAACAAAUGUUUUUGGAAUUAAAAUAUAAAAGAUAUAUAUGUUUUGUAAAAAAUGUAUGUAUUUAUAAAAAUAGAAAAAAUAAUAUAUUAAGAAAUUAUGAAAAUGUAUAUAUAUGUAUAUGAAAAUUAUGAAAAUAAGAUAAUAAAAAAAACCAAAAGUAGGUAUAUGUGUAUAUAUUUACAAGAUAAAAAAAAUGUAUAAGUAUACUAAAUCAUGAAAAUACAUAUAUGUAUAUAUUUAAAUACUUAUAUAUAUGUACAAUAUGUAAAUGAAAUAAUGGGAUAUAUGGAAUAAUAAAAAAUAUUUAAAAAUAUAAAAAUAUAAAAAGGGUAUAUAUAUACUAUAAAAAUGAACGUAUGUUUUGAAUUAUUAAACAUGAGAAAUAUGUGCUAUAAAAUGUGUAUGUAUAUGUAUAGGUGUAAUAAUAAUAAUAAUAAUAAUAAUAAUAAUAAUAAUAAUAAUAAUAAUAAUAAUAAUAAUACAAUAACAAUAAUAGUAAUGCAAUAUAACAGUAUAUAAAAAAAAACCCUAAAAGGACAGGUUAAGGAUUAAAAUGAAGAUAAACGGAAUUUAAGGGCCAAAUUCGAAGAUAGAAAAACACGAAAAGGGACCGAAUCAAAACGCGCGCAACAGGAGGAGGACCCAAAGGGAAAUUUACCCAACCACUCAAACGCUGCGUUUUAAAGGGAUUAAAAUAAAAAAAAUUAGAAACAAAUGAGGCAAAUCUAGAAAAUAAAAACACCCAAAUUAAAACAAUGAAACAAACUCGAAGGCUUAAAACCAUAAAUUUCCCCUUUUGGGGGAAAUGCGCGGACCCCACUUGUGGGUCAGGUCGACGCGCGGAUCUCCCCCCUAAACGGCGUCAUUUUGUUUUUACUAUUUAAACUAAAAUUUUUAACAAAAAAAAAACAUUUGCAGCUAAAACAAACAAAAAAAACUCAAAACUCUUUCUUUUUUUUCUCUGUUAGGGUUUCACUCCUCACCCUUUGACGCCGCCACUCAUUCGUCCUCGUACCAGAGCUCCGAUUACGACGGAGAUGGCCUCGAAUCGGCGACUCCAACAAAGAGGUAAGCUUCUCCUCACUCUUUUUUAUAAAAAAAACAGAGAAAGGAAAAAAAAAUGAACACCAAAAAUAAAACGGAAAAAAACCUUUGUUCAAAAAUUUCGAAUCUGUAUUUUUCUUCUCUUUUGAUUUCCUUUCUUUUGUCUUUUUUCCCCCUUUUACGUAUCUUUAUUUGGCUUUAUAUAGCCAAUAAAUAAAUAAAAAUAAAAUAAAAAAUCUCGAAAACCCCCUCUUCAUUGUUUAUUAUUCGUUUUCCCUUUAUUUGCUAUUGUUGUUAGUUGUUUGUAGGUGCAGGUACAACUGGAGGCAAGACGUACGUGGGGGAGGGUCGUGCUGUGACAUUCGCGACGACGUACGAGGGUGAGAUUGUUGCGGCGGCUACUAGGGUUUCUGCUAUACCCUUUGUGUUUUUGGGGCUAGUAGAUUAGGGUUAGCAAUUUGGGCCUUAUUGGGCCGAAUUAUUUGGGCUAUGUAAAUGGUUUUUUAGCCAGGCCAAAAUUGGCCUAUUACAGCUGCCCCUCUUUGCUUGUUAUUGUGUAAUGAGAACGGAGCAAAAACUUUAGAAAUGGCCAAUUUUGCCUGGCCAUGCUAAACUUCGGGGCUCUUUUCCCUUCAAGUAGCUUCUCUACUUCAAAUAGCCUCAUUCCUUCCUACUGCAUCCUCAGAGGUAUGGGAACUGGUGCUUCAAUCUACUUCAUUGCAAUGUCGGGGAGAUAGGAUUCAUACGUUGUAGCUUCUCAAAAGAACAAAAUUUGCUAUCUUUAAUCCGCUCCACAACAACUUCAAGGAGAUAAGAUUUAUAACUUCAACUUGUUCUGCUACAACUUAAAGAUAAAUCUGAUGCGAUCUGCUCUACUGCAACUUCAGAGAGAUGAGAUCUAUGGUUUUAAUCCGCUCCACUGCAAUUUCAGGGAGAUAGGAUUGGAUGUGAUCUGCUCUACUGCAACUUCAGAGAGAUAAGAUCUGUGGUUUUAACCCGCUCUACUGCAACUUUAGGGAGAUAAGACUUGUAUCUUCGAUCUACUUCACUGCUAAUAUUAGGGAGAUAAGAUUAGGGUUAGCAAUUUGGGCCUUAUUGGGCCGAAUUAUUUGGGCUAUGUAAAUGGUUUUUUUUUAAGUAAACACCAAAUUUUUGGGCAAAAGAAGUUACUAGAGACUGAAUUUACAAUGAGUUUUUUUUAUCGAAAUUAGGGUGUUAACUGUCGGUAAUAAUGGUUAAAACUUUCAUUAUAGGUGUUCUCUAAAAAGUUAUGUUGCGAGUCUCAAGAUUCAAUUUCAGAUCCAUGAGUAUGAUAUGCUUACACUACCUCAAGGCUCAACUAAGCUGUCAAUUGUCAAGCUGAAAAUAUUAGUCAACUUGUGACAGAUAUUUGUAUGGAAUCCAUGCAUUUAUGGAUUAAGAUGUCUUCAUAGCGUUCGAAGAUCUAUCUCUUAGCUUCGAAAUGUAAUUUGAAUCACUCAAUUUCAAGUUCAGGAACUCAAGUUAUGACUGUUUUAGUGAAGAUUGCGCGAGUAGAAUUUCGAGACGAGAUUAUGGCGUGAAUUACGAGUUUUGGGCUUUUAAUUCGAGUUUAAAUCAUAUUGGGUUCAAAUUUUAGGCUUAAUUUUGUUAUAUACGAGUCCAAUAUUUUAUUUAUCAUCUCUCAUUAUAUUAUUAUUUUAUUCUAAAUUUUUUAUAAUUAUGAAGUAUUUUAAGUUAUUUAGGAGUUUUAUCUCAACAAGAAAGUUUAGUUUAAAACUACUUCUUGUUUAGGUUAAUUAGAGUUCUAGUAUACUUAAGGCCCUUACAUUGUACACAAAAAUUUAAUUUUUUUAUUCAACUUCUCUUUUGAGUUAAUAAAUUCUUUUUGAGUAUUUAUUUUCAAAGAUUUUCUCUUUAGUUUUCUUUUAGAAAAGUUUUAACAAUAUUUUCAGAUUGCGGGGAUAACUUUAAAUUUUUUAAUCUAACUUGGAUUCGUUUACAUUUUAGGUUUGUGUCAAAAUCUAAGUUUAUUUUCGAACAUCUAAAGCCUUAAGUCAAAUUUACGACUUGAACAAACUGACGAUCCUCUUCCGCAUUUAUCCACACUCAUUUCUUUAUUAAGCUAAAUGGCUAGUUAUGAAAUGUACUCCAUUCUUAUGGACCAAGAUCGAACUCCAACUUUAUAAUUAAGAGAGAAAGUAAACAAUCACCACACCACAUUUCAUGAUUACAAGAAUUUAUCUAUUUUAUUCAUAGUUUCAUAUGAUAGUGAUCAUAAACAUUUAUUUUAAUCAAUGUUUAUUGAGUUAAAUAAGCAACUUAUACCUCUUAAGUAAAAGUAAAAAUAUCAAAUUCAUUUUUUUUUAAAUUUAGAUAAAUAUAGCGUUUGUUAAUAUCAUGUUCAAGUCUGACCCAUGUACAUCUCUAAUGAUCAUCAUUUAUUUUUAUUAUUAAAAAUCAAAUUAUGACACACUCAUGACCUAUGGUGAAGUCAGAACAAUUUUUUAGGGUGGCCGAAUGAAAUUUUAAUUUUUUAUAAUCUAUAUCUUUAUAAUUUUUAAAGGAUUAAAUCAAAUUUUUAUAAUUUUACAUUUACUAAUUUAAAAUUUUAAAAAAAUUUAAGGAUGUAAAUAACAAUUUUACAUUUUAGGGGGCAAAACCCUGCCAGCCCCCUCGAUUUGAUUUCUGGUAAAUCAUUGAUUCAUCUGGUGUUUAACUAUAUUUAUUUACAAGUUUACUAGAUUGAAAUUUUAUGAUGUUCAAAAAUUUAUAGAUCCCAUGUCACAUUCAGUAAAAAUUUAUGAUACAUGUAUUGGGUGUACUCAAUGUGUCCGAGCCUGCCCCACCGAUGUGUUAGAAAUGAUACCUUGGGAUGGAUGUAAAGCUAAGCAAAUCGCUUCCGCUCCAAGAACAAAAGAUUGUGUUGGUUGUAAGAGAUGUGAAUCCGCUUGUCCAAUGGAUUUCUUGUGCGUUAAAGUUGAUUUAUGGCAUGAAACAACUCGAAGUAUGGGUCUAGCUUAUUGAUACGGUCCAGAAAACCCUAGUUGAAUACAUUUUGAAUCCAUUUGAUUUUUUUUACUGAAAAAAACCUGCUAAUGACCUAGAUAAAAAAUUAAUGUUAUAUAUAUAUAUAUAUAUAUAUAUAUAAAAUAAAAAAAAGGUUUUUAGUUGAAAUGAUAAAAUUGAGGUUUUGAGAUUUUGAUAUCUUUAAUUCAAAUUGGACUAUGUGUGAGUUUUUUUAUAAAUUUUUUAUAAAUUUAAAAAUUUAAUAAUAGUAUAUAUAUCAAUCACUUUCCUUUUCAACCUUUAAAGAUGUUGGCCUAAUAAGAUUGGAUCACAACUAGAUUUCUUUUUUUAAGUGAAGGAAUUAAAUUAAAAUUAAAAUUAAAAUUUAUUAUUUAAAAUAAUAUUAAAAAUAAAAUUACUUUAUUUUAUAAUUAAAUUUAUAUAAAAUGUUUCUAUUUAUUAAAUAUGAAUUCCAAUGACUAGUUUAAAUAUUGUUGAAUUUUUUAAAAUAUAUUUUAUUUUUUAUAGAAAAAUAUAUUAAAAUCUAAAUUUUCAUCCAUGAGAUUAAUAGGAAGUUUUGUCUUAAUUGGUUGAUUAAAUUUAUCUUAAUUGAUUAUUUUUUGAACAAUCUCAUUAUAAGUUAUGAUUAUAUCUAUUUUUAAUAUAAUCUCUCGAACAAUCUUAUAUCGGUGUAAAAGUAAAGUUGUUUUACCUUCUUUCAUAUCUUUUUGUAUGAUUAAAAUUUUAAUGAUCUAACUGUUGAAUUUAUUAAUAUAAUUGUACUUGUUACGCAUGUAAAUUUUCAAACCAAACUGGUGUCUUUAUCAUAUUGAUCUAAAAUACUAUAUCUAUUAAUAUUUAUUGAGCGUAUGCAUUUUUUACAUAAAAUAAAUAGUUAGAAAAUUUUAGUUUAUAUCGACUUUUAUAUGCAUGAUCUAUAUAAAUGGAAUACAAAAUAUGACGGUUGGAACAUUAAAAUAUUAAUCGUACAAAAAGAUAUGAAAAAAAUGUAAAAACAACUUUAGUUUUACAUUUAAUUUUGUAUCUUAUACCGGUGUAAGUAGAUCCCUCCCCUUUCAUUUUUAUUAUUAACAUGUUAUUUUUAAGGUUUAGAUAAUUUUAUUGAUUAAAUUUAUUAUAUUUAACUUAGAAUAUUAAAAUAAAAAAGGUUUUAACAUAAUGACAAAAUUAAAGUAUUGAAAAUGUAUUCUCAACUCAUGUUAGUUGUUCAUAAAAAUGUAAAAACCCAAAAUGGGUGUGGGUUUCUUCUCUUUUGAUUCUCUUCUUUUUUAGUUUGUUUUUUUUACUUCUCUCUUUUGAUGCAAGCCAAUUUGGGAUUCUUGCUCUUUUUUUGCUGGUUUGAUUUUGGAUGCUUGCUAUUUGGUAUUUUUGUUUUUGCUAAUUUUUGUUGUUUAGUCGUUGGUUUUGAUUCGAAGCUUCAUAACAUCGCCACAAGCAGGAGCUCCAACUAAACCGAUGCCGAUGAACGGGUUGUGAUGUCAUCUCCUUGACGUUAGCCCAAUCAGCCGUUUUGAUGUCAGACUCAGCAUUUUCACCGUCGAUUUUUAAUUUUCACUAUUAUGGGAAAAAAUCAUGCUUCACGAUAGCUAAUAACUUUUCUAGGUUCCGUGUGCCAAAAUUUUUUCUCCAAUUUUUUUUCCCAUUCUGGGCCUAAUUUUAGGUAAAAUCCAUGUCAAUCUGCCACAUUUGCGAAUUGGGUUAAUUGGGUUUCCAAUGUGGCAAGUUAAUUGUCCACAUCAGCGAUCCUAUUAAGACAAUAAUAGAAAACGUUAAUAAAUGAUUCAUUUGUCAGUUUUUAAUAACAUUAGUGACUGUUUUGUUAUUUUUUUAAAGUUGAGUGACUAAAAUAAAAUCUAUGUGAUUGUUUUGUCAACUAUUAGUGACUAUUGAUGUAAUUUACCCAAAAUAGAAUUUAUUGCAUCUUUAUUUCAUUUUUAAUAAUUUACAAUAUUAAAAUGAUAAAAAUAUAUAAUUUUAUAUUAUUAUCUAUUUAUUUUUAUAAAUAAAUUUAAAUAAAAUUAUUUUAAAAAAUAUUUAAUUGAAAUUCAGGUUAGGCCGGGUUGAAAACAAAAAUAAAUUCUUUGAUACACACAGGAAUGGAUCGUGGUUGUGGGAGUAUACUAGAAAUAUGGGAUGUUGCUCGCUGCUUGAAGCUGAAUUGUGGCUCAUUUUGGACGGUUUGAAUCUUCUUUGGAUCCAAGGCUUUAGACGUGUGGAGAUUGUGAGCGACAGUGCUGCUGCUGUCCGCAUCAUAUUGGAUGAGUCUGCUGCUAAGCAGAGUAUAUCGCACAAUUCGAGUUCUUUAUAAUCGGCAAAGGAAGGUCAAGAGAUACAUCACAUUGUCCGGAAAGCCAAUGCGUUUGGCCUAAGCAGGCUGCUGAAUCCACCGCCUGCUGCACUGAGGAGCAUUCUUUGCAAGGACGGUACAGGGAUUGUUGGGGAUAGGCUGAAAUCACUACCCUCCUUUAUAUAAACAUUCAACCCUUUAUUACUCAACACACGUAGAUCAAUGCCAUUAAAUCACCUUAAUAUUUAUUUCAAUCCCUUUUAUUCUCAACUCAUGUUUCGUUGUUCGUACUAAUGCCCCUAUUUUAAAAUUCACAAGCAAUACUUGUAUAAGCCCAAUUUUUAUGCCCGGGCCCAAUUAACCCUAAACCAAUAAACCCACCUAAAACAACCCACUAACCCUCAGCCCAAUAACAAACCUAUUACAAGCCCACUACCCCAAAACCCAAAUGGCCCAAAACCAAGCCCAACUAGCCUAACCCAGCCACCCAAAGGCGAGGCCCAAUGCCCAGGCCCAAUUUUCCCAAAGAAUUUGCCUAGAUAGGCGCCGCCUCUUUGACCUUAGGCAUUCUGACGCCGCCGGACGUCCCAUCCGCAACGCCCACGGUCACGUCGACCACGCCACUUGCGCCGCCUGUCACCUGCAAAGAAGAAAACAACAAAAACAACAGAAAUAGUAGCAAAAAUCGGCUAUAAAAGCCGAACAUGUAACUCUUUUCCUCUCUCUUCUGGCAACUUUUGUAUCAAAAAAAAGGAUUCAAUCGAAAGAAAAUAAAAAAGCAGAUUCAAAGUUUUUUUUUUCUUUCUUUUCAGUUUUGAAGUUUUUUUAUUUUGUUCUCUUUUCUUUUCGUGCACAUCUAUAUAAAUAAAUAUAGUGAAAAAGGGGAAAAAGAAAACCUUACCUGUGCCGCGCCGGAGGGGAAGGAAGGCGAACGAUUUCACCCCAUUUUCGGGUCUUCGGCCUUUGUUUCACGAGAUUCGGCCCCAGAUCUGUGGCCUGGAGGCCAUAGGCUUCAAAAAGGGACCAAAAAGGUCUGAUUUUAAGCCAUCGACCGCUGCACAUGGUGGCGCUACGGUGGGAACUCGUCGGAGUUGAAGGCCGGAGGUUUUGGAGAGAAAGAGGGGGAGAAGGAUUUUUUUUAGAGAGAAUCUGUUUUUUUUAAGGGGGCAGAAAAUGAAGUUAAAAAAAAACUUUGAUUUUAUAAGCAUUUAAAACGGCGCCGUUUUGUGCCAUAGCCCCAGGCGUUAAAACGACGCCGUUUCUCCCCAGAUCCGCGCGUCGACCCGACCCGACCCGACCUGAGGAUCCGCGUAUUUUUAAGUUUUGGGUUAUUUACCCAUUUGGCCCUUCUGUCUUUUUGGGUGUUUUAAUUUAGUCCUAUUUGCACCUUUUCAUAUUUUAUAAAUUUCGCCCCAAUUUUUUUUAGUGUUUUUAAUUUAGUCCCAGGUCCUACGAAGGGACACGUGUCCUAAUAAUUGGGAUAGUUUCUUAUUCGGCCCUUCGCCCUUUCGCGGUUUUCCAAAUUGGUCCCUCCGUAUUUAUUUUAUUUCAGUUUCAGCCUUUAACUUUUAUUUUUAUCUCUGAUCAGUCCAUUUGUGUUUAUUUUGUUAUAUUAAUCUAUUUAUUAUCAUACUUAUAUUUUCUUUUUAUAUUUAUUUACCCAUUAUUAUAUUAUUGUAUUAUUAUUAUUAUUAGUUUUAUUUUCCCUUAUUUAGUCAUUAUAAUUGUGUUAAUACAUUAACUAGUUUUUUAUUUAUUUUAGCUUUGUUUUCAUAAUAUAUGUAUACAUACAUAUGUAUAUUUUUAUAUAUAUGCGUACACAUGUACUUUUUUAUACUUUAUAAUAUUUAUACCUAAAGAUAUUCACGUUUAUAUAUAUAUUCCAUUUUCAUAAAUAUACAUACAUAUAUAUAUAUAUAUUUGCUUAUUCUUUAUAUUUUUUAAAAUACCUAUCUUGUAUAUACUCUUUAUUUUAUGAUUUAAAUAUGUGCCAAUAUAUACUUCUUAUAGUUGAUGAUUGCUAUAUAAGUAUGUAUGUACAUACACUUACAUAAUUUUUCAUGUAUAGUAGUUUUUUAAAAAAGGGUGUAUACAUGCAUAUGUUUUUCAUACUUUCAUCAUUUUAUACAUAUACAUAUGUUUAUAUAUCUUUUAUAAUUGUAUGAUUUUGUUAAUUUUGUUCACUCAUUUAUUUAUAUGUUUAUUAUUGUUUUCUUACUUAAUUAGUUUCUUUUUACUUGUUAUUUUGCUCGUAUAAUUGUUUUUAUUGUUUAUUAUUUUGCUUGUAUCAUUUUAUUUACAUUGUCAUCAUUAUUAUUAUUUUGCAUUCAUUUCUACUCGGAUUUAUCCAAAAACGGAAAAUUUCAAAAUAAAAAUAACACUCGAUAUUUGAGAUCUUCGAGAGAAUUGAGCCCUAACGUAUUGGGUUCCGAUUUUCUUUGUUGAAUCAAAAUAAUCAAGAUUACUCUUUUAUAAAAAAACAUAAAUAAAAAGCUCAUUAUCGAGAAUUCAAUACGUCGUGUCCUAAUGCAUUGGAUGUGACACGUUGAUUUCUCGAGAUGAAGAUUUUUUAAAAUAAAUGCAAUAUUCAAUGUUUAAUAUUUUGAGAAACUGUGCCCUAAUGUAUUGGGUUGCGAUUUCUUCAUUUGAUUUAAACAAUUGAAUAUUCUUUUAAACUUUAUUACACAAAUCUUUUCAAACUCGAGUUUUAAACGAUAUCGGGAAUUAAAAAAGGAUCGUGUCCUAACUUACUGGUCGUGAUCUCUUUUUAAUCCAAGAUAGUUAAAUAUCUUUUAAAUAAGCAUUUUUCAUUCGCGUAUCGGGAAUUCGAGACAUUGUGUCCUAACUUACUAGAUGUGAUUCUCUUUCUCGAAUAACGUGCAAUAUUCCCCUUUUCCUGAAAAUUUUCAACGUUUUAAUACAAGCAUCGUAUUUUUAAAAUUCUUCAAAGUUCUCAAUUUUUCGACAUUAAGACAUUAACUAAUCAACUAGGUACCAAUUUUGGACGUUACGAGGGUGCUAAUCCUUCCUCGUACGUAACCGACUCCCGAACCCAUUUUCUGAAUUUCGUGGACCAAACUCGUUUUAAUAAAAUCAAAUCGUUUAUUAAAAACAACCACUUUUCAAGGUGAUCCGAUCACACCUCAAAAAUGAUUGGUGGCGACUCCCAUUUUCGUUUUCGUUUUUCAAAACCCAAGUCGACCCCAUUUUUUAUCAAAAAAUGGUGUCAACAAUACUGGUUUUCCCUUAAUUUCUUAACAUCACCACCAAAAAGAUCAAGGAGUUGCUAAGAUCAAGAUCAACAAGCUACACAAGUCAGAACAAAAUCAACAAUAUUGAAAAUAGACACUAAACCUCAUUCUAGUUUCCACAAUCUUUUAUCAGUGUGUAAUGGUCAUGUACAACUGAUUCACAUUGCAAGUGAUAAUCUUUACACAAUUUGUGAAACAUUUCAGAGCAAGAUUGAUUUGUUAGAGUAUAUGAUAAGAUCCAAAAAUAAGGUGGCAGUGAAUAUAUCUGCAGAAAAGCCCUUACCAACCAUUUCCAUAAGAAGUUGUGUUGCCUUUGAGGUAUAGCUGUUGCGAAGGAGCCCCCGAAUCAUUACAUUAUAACAGCAGCUAUCAGGCAAACAAUCAUUAUCUCCCGAGCUCCCAAACAACCGGUAUGCUUCAUCUGGCAAUCCCUCUUUACACAGUCCACUAAUCAUUAUACAAUAUGUGUAAACAUCCGGUUUUAAGCCAUUGUCUGAGAGUUGAUGAAAUAAUUCCUUGGCAAAUUCGAUAUGCCCAGCUUUGCACAACCCAUCAAUUAGGAUAUUAUAUGGGACAAUAUCAAGUUCCAACCCACUGUUUCGCAUUGCUUGAAAAAGUUUCAAUGCCUCCUCAAUAUGACCUGUGUUGCCUAAACCAUCCAGCAAAAUCAAACAAGUCACUAAAUCUGGAACUUGUCCAGAAGCAAGCAUCUUUCUAAACAGUUCACAUGCAGUUGAAACUCUCCCUAACUGAAACAAACUCUGCAUAAGAAUGUUAUAUGUGACAGUAUUCGGGAUUGGUCUCUUUAGAGAUAUUUCAUGAAAGAGUUCCAUUGCUUCGUCUAACCUUUUACCUUUGCAAUAUCCAUUGAUCAUGGUGCUGUAAGUAACUAUAUCAGGUGCACAACCCUUCUCAAUCAUCAAGUUAAAAACUCUUCUAGC